rnacentral:lncRNA from 1 species
CGAUUAAAAUGCAGGAAACGUACAAAAAUAAAAAUAAAAAUAAAAGUAGACAAAAGUAUGUUGAAAUUGCAUAAUGUUAUGUUCAAUCAACACAUCCAAGAAAAAAUUUCCUAUAUCUUUCUGUGUACAGUCCAUUAGGGUGCAAUGACAAAGCUCAAUGAAUCGUUAAAAUUGACAAUGUAAACCAACUUUUCAACGAUUAUAUAUGUUACACAGAUCGAUUUGUACACAUUCUUCGAACUAGUUAUCGUGCCACUGAAAAUAAGAAUGGUGGAACCCCUUAAUAACCUUGGAAAAUUGGUGGCGGUGGUGAUGCGUAUAGCGAGCCCAAUGAUGGAGGAAGAGCAACAUCCUCAAAAGUGGGUGGAGGUGGAGGUAAGGCUACAGGUGGGGGUGGUGAGUGGAUAAGUGGCGGUGGAGGUGACGCUACCGGAGGCGGUGGUGAGUGAACGGGAGGUGGAGGUGACGCUACCGGAGGCGGUGGUGAGUGAACGGGAGGUGGAGGUGGAGGUGAGGCCACUGGUGGCGGUGGUGAGUGAACGGGAGGUGGAGGUGAAGCCAUUGUUGGUGGUGGUGGUGAGUGGACGGGAGGUGGAGGUGACGCCACUGGAGGCGGUGGUGAGUGGACGGGAGGUGGAGGUGAGGCCACUGGUGGUGGUGGAGAUCGAGCUGGAGGUGGUGGUGAAGCCACUGGGGAUGGAGGUGAAGCCAGUGGUGGUGGUGGUGAGUGGACUGGAGGUGGAGGUGAUGCCACCGGUGGUGGUGGAGAUUGGACUAGAGGUGGUGGCGGUGAUGGUGGUGGUAAAGUAUUUGGUGGUGGGGGAGGUGAGGCAACUGGAGGUGGGGAUGGGGGUAAAUAAUUUGGUGGUGGGGGAGGUGAGGCAACUGGCGGUGGUGGAGAUGUGACCGGGGGUGGAAUGGUGGUUUUUGGUGGAGGUGAUUUGGGAGUCGGUGGUGGCGAUAGGGUUGGAGUAGAUACAUGAGGUGGCUUUGGUUUUGGACUCGUAGGUUUUGGUGGAGACUUUUUGGGGGUUGAAGGGGUGUUUUCUUUAGGUGGAUCCUUUGGACUCUGCCCUUGUGGAGAAAAUCCACAAUGACCUUUACUACAAUCAACAGGGUUGCUCAAAACUGGUAAACAUUCCUUCUCUGUCUUUUGAUCUGGUUGUUCCUGCAAACAAUUUUCUUUGCCUUCAAUUUCAAGAUCAUGGGAGCGCGACGGCGUACAUUUUUGGUCCAAGCUCUCAAAAUAGUUGUUGGAGAAUGUCAAAUUGGCCAAGUUGGGCAAGGUACAAAGGUUUUCUGGAACAUUUCCCAUGAACUUGUUGGAUGCAAUGUCAAAGACUUCAACUUGCUGCAUGUACUUCAAAUCCUUUGGUAAGGAUCCAACGAACUUGUUUCCGCUAAUGUCGAACGUCGUUAGGCUCGUCAGCUUGGUAAUUUCUUCAGGUAAACAACCAGAGAGAUCAUUGUUUGUGAAAACAAGCUCAUCUAUUGUGCUACUCAUUUUGCCAAUGCUGCUUGGAAUGCAACCAAAGAAUUUGUUAUUCGCCAAUACCACCACUGAAGCAUUAGAAUUACCCAAAUUUUCAGGGAUGGUAGAAUGGAAUCGGUUAUUGUUAAGAAAUAUGGCAUCAAGAUUCUUCUCAAAUAGUGCAGAAGGCACUGAACCUUCAAAAUUGUUGUACCUAAGAUCAAGAUAUUUAAGCUUAGGCAAUUCCAGCACAACUUCUGGGAAUGGCCCCACAAAACGAUUGUUGCUGAAAUCAAUCUCAUCUAAAAGCGUAAGAUUUUUAAUGCUCUUAGGAAUGAUUCCACAAAACCGAUUAGAGUUAAUGUGGAUAAGACUAACAUCAGAUAAAAGGCCAAGCUCGACAGGGAGGUGUCCAGCUAUGUCUGCAUGGUUAAGAUCAAUGCCAGCAACAACAGAGAUAUUGGGAUUGUCGAGAGCAUUGUCACAAAAGACACCAUUAUAGGCACAAACAUUAGGACCUUCCCAGUUAGCCGUGAAGUUUGUUGGGUCGGAGUAAAUAGCUUUCUUCCAUGCCUGAAGAGCAACAUAAGCUUUUUUCAACCUGGAAUUCGCGAAUGCCAUGUUAAUGGUCAUAUCAUACUCGCCUUUGUCACCCAAAAGCUGGCGACGAGCAAUGGAAGCAGCCUCAACAUCAGUUAUUGCAAAAGAAGAUGAAGAAAGAGAACAGAAUGAUACAAGGAAGAAGAGAAGAAAAAAACCCGAGGCCAUAAUGCUUGGAUUAAGUCCACUUGGGUUAGGCCCAAGGCUGCUUAUAGCAAUCUAUCUUGCAAAUGAAAAUGGAGGGUUUUAUAUGUAGGCAGAGGAAGGAAUAUUCGUGGUUGAUAGGUUAUUACUGAAGGUGUUUGAAUUUGGAACCAUAUUUUGCGGAAACUUGUUUGAGCACCAUGGAAUUUGGAAGGUCAAAAUAAACUCAGAGAAAAAUUUAAGAAAUGAAUGAAUAGGGGUAAUAUUUGAUCCAUCAUUUACCUACUAGCAUGGAAAAUCACCAAUUACACGAGUUUCUUUUACUGUCUAUUAACAAAUGGACAUUAAUUCAUAAACAGGUUUUAUUUCUUUGUGCUAGCAAAUAAUUGCCACAUUUUUUCAUUAAAGUUUGAAAUUUUCACAAUGCAUUGGCUUUUCUACUGGAUUUCAGUUUUUCACUGGAUUGCUCUACUCCUCCGCCAAAGCUCUAAAACCGGUGCUUUUAUUCUUCCUUUGAUAAUUCUUCCACUCUCCUUGGCAGAUUCCAUUUAGAUGACAAUAAAUCCCUCAAGAAAAUAAUCUUUAUUUAUGGUCUCUUGUUAGUUCCUAAACCCACAGUUUAGUGACACAAACUACUGACUAAGUGGCUUUCAAGGCUUAAUGAAAUUUUACCUUCCAAUUAAAAGCAAAAAUAGAUGAUGUGAAACAUCAAACACGUGCUCCUUGAUCAUAGGAGUACGUGGAGAGAAAAAAACUACUUCUAUUCAACAAUUAGAUAGGAGACUUGCCUUUACUGUCUUCAAUGUCUUAGACUUUAGGAAUAAUUGGCAGAUGCUGAAAUUUAACCAUGGACUGCCUAUUUCCAUUUGGUAUUUUCCCUUCAACACAGCCCCUUUACCCACCCAAAACCACCACCACCAUCAAAAUUCUCUCGCCAGGACAAAGGGAGGGACACAAAUGUUUUACCCAAUACUUCUAUGAAGCGGGCAGAGUCUGAUGCAAAUGACAAGGGAAGUAGCUCUAUUCACAUCAGGGAAUUUCUAAGUAAACAUAAUACUGAUUCACCCUGGCCAUUUUAAAAUUUUAAGUGCACUAAGAAAAAUUAGGCUUAUGUUAUGCAUCACCAAGACUUAAAGAUUCUAGUCACUAGUGGUACUAAUCCGACGGGGUUACAUAUUAAUCCGCUACAGCACCAUGGACCUAACAGGCCAAGAUUGCUAAUUUGAUAAAAAUUGAAAUUAUUUCUAGGAUGGAUUACAACCUCUCCAUAAUCGCUGGGAUCUAUAGAUCAAAAAUAGGAUAGGACGCGAUGGCGGAGUCACGUUUAACCAAGGAGUGUCUCGUCGGAAAUUACAUUGCUUGCUGGGUAAAUUUUUUUGUUUUAUGCAUAUUUACAAUAAGUUGAACCCCUUAACUUGGGAACGAAUAUGUUAAUAACUGAAGAUUACUCCAAAUGGUUUCAUUUUUGUGAAACAGCUGUUCUUUGUUUUUUUUUUUUUUUGGGGGGGGGGUUGGGGGGAGGUGGGGGAUACCGAGGUUAGGUGCUUAGAAACCACUAAAGUGCUUAAUCGCCAGACCAGGCCAUUAACAUACCUUUGCUUUUAACUAGUAGGAAUAGCAAACUGUUAAAAGGGGGAAAGCGACAUUAGUUUAACACCAUCUAGAAAAGACCUCAAAGAGCACGUAGAAACUUAACUUUACUGCAAUUAAAACUUCCCAAAAACCAAACCAUAUUUACAUUCAAAACAAAUGGAAAUUCUUAACUAAACAAUAGAGUAACUAUUUUAAGUAACUAUUUUAUGCUACACUAACAAAAAUACGUGAUAACAUCCCACAAAUUUUACCACAUUGGCCAAGAAACACCCUUCAACUCCAUUUCUUGACCUUAUUACUUGGUUCACUAAAGCUCCAAAAGCAUGCUUUUUAUGGAUUCCAUGUCAAUAAUCAAGUGCAGACGAGUACCAAACAGGGUGUGUUCCUUUGGCUCUGAGAAGUCUAGUAAAGGGUGAAUCUGGCAUUCUAGCCUUCUCCUCUUCUUCAAGCUCUUCUCUUGUCUUUGGUAAUCCAUCAGGGACAGGGCAAGGUCUUGCCACUUUUUCCUCAAGAUUCGCAAUCUUGGCUGAUUCUUUGCUUGCUCGUUUUGCUUUGUGCAUGUCUGAAACUCCAUGUAAACAACCAAUGAGAGUUUUUACUCCACCUGCUUGAAGUAUUAGCCUCUCUACCUCCUCCUUAGGAGCUUCUUUCUGGAAAGAAAAACAAAAGCAAAAACAAGUGUGAAGGUGCUAUACAUUAAAUAUCUGGCCAAUUGUUCUGUUUGGAUUUACAAAAAGCUCAAGUAAUUGGCUUGAUUGAUAUCUUCAACGGAUAUUAUAAGAGUAUCUGUGAUAUGGGGCUACUUUUCAUUUAUAUGAUCAGUAUUUAGUACAGCUAAGAAUCCAAUUUAUAUGGAAUUGUUCUCUCACACUAUCUGGUAGUCAUAUACACACAACUACUACUUCGGCUCAACCCAAAACCAAGUUGGACUUGAAUAAAUGAAUCUUCAAUUUAAGCCCAUCUCAGUCCAAUAUUAUACAAAAUAAAAAGUAUUAAAAACUCUCCUCCCCAAUGAGGCAACUCAAAAGGCACGGUCAAGUCCAUAUACGCACACAACGUCAUAUAAAUUUGUCAAGUCCCAUUCUACCAAAUGCCUAAACAGAUAAGCAGCUAAAACAAUCUCCACAAUCGUCCCAAGAAUGGAAUUGCUGACAAACACUCCACAAUUAAUUUGUCAAAAAACACUCCACAAUUAAUACAAAGCCAAUCUCAUUUUUAUUACCCACUAAGAACCAACUUUCUAGACAGGUUACUUAAUCGACAGAAACAAAAGCCUACUAUCUGACAACACAGAAUCAAUACAGUAGCAAGACUCCAUCAAAUAAAAAGGCUACAAAAUUUUAUUUCAAGAACCUAUAACAGUGCUGAUUGAGAACUUACUUCAAGAUCUUUGAGUUCAAAAUAGGCCUGCCAGCAGCUAUAGGAAUCAUCCCCUUCUAGAACAGAACAAUAAUCUGCACAUUACCAUUUACAGAGUACUCCAUUAGUAAUUUUAACAAGCAGAUAAUACUUACUUUAGACAACAAAAAAAGAUGUCCAGUUACUAGAUCCCCAAUUUUUAUUUUUAUGUUGUGUGAAUACGAACGUAGUUCGUAAUAGACAACUGAAGGUGGUGUGCGCAAGCUGGCUCGUACAUUAACUUCUUAAAAAGGAAACGAGAAAUUUCCCUGGAACCACUAUUUUUAUAUAAAGCAAUUCUUUUUUUUUUCAUCAACCAUUCAGGAAAGAGAAAUUUUGAAGAAUUUGUUAUAACAUUAAACGAGCGAGCAAUCUAAUCAAUAACUUACAGGCAAAGGAAACGUAAAAUUAAGAAAAUACAGGUACAGGAGAUUAAGAUCUGGACAAUACCUGAAAGUUCGUUUUCGGAUUUUUCAAUCAAAGGAGGGUCUUUUACAACCCUAUCGAACUUGGUUCUGCUAAAAGGCUCCAGCUUUGGUAUAUAAGCAUGGCUCCUUGAACAACAACGUAUUGUCGACGAAUUAAUUACAUUAAAUCUUGAAGAAGAUGAUCUUUUUGAAGAAUAUUGAAGCUCAUUAGCUCCAACAAGAGAAGAAGAUAAUGAAUUUAAAGUCACUGCUUGUAACACCAUUGAUAUUUUUAGAACCAAGAUAAGAAGAUAUCAUCAAAAUGCUGAAUAAUUGUUGAAGAAAUUUAAGGAUAUAAAUAGAGGAUGAGUUAGAUAUAAAGAGAAAGGAGGAGUCAGAAGGAAUUGGGAAUGGAUAAGGAUGAGAUAUUUUUUAAUAUUUUUCCACUAGAAGAUAGAUAGUAUUACUUGUUGGUGUUGAUUAGAUUUGUGACAAUCAAAUUAUGGCCGUAGAUUUGUGUCUAUAUGUCAUCGUGAUCAAAUGACGGUCGUAAAAAUGGAAACGUAGGAUGCGGCGGCCCUGUUAUACAGUGGGGCUUUUUUUUCCUGGGAUAUUUUAAUGACAAUAGCGUAUGUGGAAAUUUUAAAGAUAUUUUAUUAUGAGCCCACAGUUUUUUCUUUGCUUUGAACUUUUUGCUUUUUCAACUUUGUAAUUUGUCGUGAAGCAAAAGAAAGAAAUUGUUAUUGCCAGUCUUUCGCAUUUGGUCCCUCGAAAGUUUCUCGAUAAUAAUAGCAUAUUUGGUCAAAAAGUUUUUUGUCAAAAAUAUUUUUUUCAUAAUUAAAGAUUUUAAAAGAAAAAAUAUUUUUGAGUAGAAGCAUAAAUAGUUUUUGAGAAGAAAAAAAAAAGUAAUUUUUUCCUAAGCAUUUUUCUAAAAAAAAUACUUUUGAUAAAAAUACAGUUAAAGCACUUUUUAAAAACUUGGUUAAAUAUUAAUUGAUGUUCAGAAAUACUUUUAAAUUAAUUAGCUAAACACAAAUUAUUUCAGCAAAAGCAUUUCUUUGAAAAACACUUUUCAAAAUGAUCUGAUUUUAGAAGCUUGACCAAAUAGACAAUAAGUAAGCGUUCAAACAUAAAAAUAUAAUUCUUUUUAAAAGUAAUUUUUAGAAUUAAAGUUUUUAAAAAAAGUAUUUAAAAUUUACAAGCAUUUUACUUGAAAAAUAGUUACAAUUUACGAGAAGAAAUAAAAUUUUGCAUGAAAUAUUUUCAAACUUGGUGUUGGAUAUUAGGUUUGGGUCGCGGGUCGCCUAUGUGGACUGACUCGAUCCAUUUUAGAAGAGAUUAAAUUUAAGGAUACUAACUGAGGUUUUAUAACUCCUAAAAACUACCACAUAUUAUUGAGAAAUGCGGGAACGUGCAACGGUGGUUUUCAUUGGUAGUUUUUCCUCUAUUCCUCUUCUGUAUAUCUCUCCUGCAGAAGAAUUCUAAGUGUGUGAAAUAUUUUUUUUCUUUUCCCAACAUAAGACAUGCACAAAAGAGAGAAGGAUUUAGUUUGUGAAAUAAACUGUGUUUUCUAGUUAUUCAAAGUAGAUUUGGGGCAAUUAUCUUGAUAGCAAUUGCAACAAUUUUCGCUACAUAACAACGUAUACACACAAUUUAUUGUUCGUGCUCCUUAAUUCAAUUUACAAUGGUAUCAGAGCCUUUGAAGUAUGUUCUAUUGAGAUUAAUACACAAUUGAAUUUAAAUCAGUAUUAAUUUUAUUACACCGUUGAUUAAAGAGAGUUUGAAUGAAUUCGAUGUUUGUAAUUUAUGUGAAAAAUUUUCCUUAUCCUAAUAGUGUUUCCUGAUUAGAUGACUUCUUUUUACUUGACUUUAAUUGAACACGGAAAGGAUUCAUCUUCAAUUCAAGGAGAGUAAUUUGCUAUUUUCUUCUGUCUACCACCAAGUAGAUAUAUGUGUGUUCAUAAAAUUUUGUGAAGAAUUUUGCUACUGCCAUGAAUUAAUUUUAUUUUUGUAACAACUAUAAAUUUUUUCGUAGUAAUAUAUCAUGGCUUGAUAUUAAUUGUAUGACAAGAUAAGAAUCUGAUGGACAAGUAUUUGGAAGGUACAAUGUUUCUGAAAGAUUCAUCUUAUCGUUUUAUACUAAUAAUAUAAGAGUAGAAAGAAAAUUUUCUUUGACUAUAAACUUAUAAUGUCUUAUUGCUAGUCCAUGAGUGGGACAUAAUAUCUUUACAAUAAUUGAAUCAUCAAUUUAUUUAUUUAUUUUUUCGAAAAAGACAAGAGGCCUCUUUUAAUUAGGAGGGAUCGUUUAUUCUCUUCGUGGAUAUAAUAAGUGAUGAAGUUUGGGGUCCAUGAUAAUGGGACUUUACAGUGCAAUUAUUAUGUUUUGGAUUUAUUGAUUCUUGAAAUGUAAAUUUUCAGAAAAUAACUUUAAAGUCCGGUAAAUCCAUAUAUAUAAAUUUGUCUUUCUGCACUUGGUUUAAAGAAUAACUACUUGAUAAUGGAUAAUCCAAAAGAGAUUGUUUCUCUAAUAUUUCCCCAACGUGAAUGGUUAUGAUAUUGCAUCAUUAUAUAUAUAAAUUUUUGUUGCUGUUUGAUUCUUAACCGAAUUUGAUGCAGUGCUUCCUUGACUCUAAGUAAAAUAAUCUAGUAGAAAAGAUUCAUGCGAUAUCUUUACACUGAUCUGUCAAAGUACUUUGCUAAGACAAUGAAUUUAUGUGUUAUGAGAAUUGGUCUUAAUUGAACUCACUGUCUACUUAAAGUAGAAAAUUAGUUUAGCCCCUAUCCCUUAGAUUGAUAUACUUGUACGAGUUAUUAUGACAUAUGUUGUCACAUUGAAUAAUUGUAGUCAUUCUUAUUGUUUCCUUGGUCAUAUUUCAGAUAUGGCUGAACAAGGACAAGUUCGAAUUACUUCAAGUGGGAGUUCUCGAAGUCGAGUAAGGGGACAACGUAGAAGGAUGCAUCGUUGCAUGACUUGUUUCCACAAUAAUUCUGACUCGGAGCCUGAAGUCAUCAAGAUAGUCCCGAGGGCGAUGCAAAAUGAGUUAAAGGAUAGAAGGGCUGAACAAAGGGAAGGAGAAACGAAAUUUAAGGAGUUUAAGAAAUUUAAAAUGGGCCCCGAUACAUUCAUUCCCGAACAUGUACACCUUUUUUAGUUAAAAAGAGCUAAAUUACCUAAUUACAUAGAGAUUAUUGAUUGGAAAGCGUCAGAUAUUUUAGCGGACUCUCUUUGAGAGCAUUGAGAUGAAGUUUUAAUUGAGAUUUAUCAUGAUAUUUGGCCUCGUGCACCUUUUAGCGUAUAUGUGCAAGAGUUAGUGUUCGAUUGGUUCAUGUAUGUCCUAGCAAAAAUGUAAAUUGUUAUUAUAUAUUUUAUUUUAAUAAAAUUUAAAUUAUGUUAUUUAUCUCACUAGUUACAUAUAUUAUUUAUUAUUUUAUUUUAUAAUGGAUUGAGACUUGAAAUAAAAUACACACUAAGAAGUGAUUUUAAUAUUAGUUAAAAUAUUUAUAUAUAGAUGAUGAAUGAAAACAUAGUGACAUUUCGAUUCUAUACUAAAUGUAGAAUUAAUAUUAUAAUUAAUUUGCUUGACUGUAUAAUCACAUGCAUAAAUUGACUGAAGUAUAUGAUGAUGAGUUAAACUUGUAAUAUUGUCUCUAAUGACAGACAUGGCAUUGAAAAGUAUUAUUGCUGACUUGAACAAGAGUGACAAACUGAAUGGUGAAAAUUACGACAUCUGGAGUCGUAAGAUGUGGUAUGUACUCGAAGAGUAAGUAUGCUCUUGAAAGUAUUAACCAUGUUAUGAGUCACCCAAAGGAGGGCAACACUGCCCAACACACGAGGAAUCUGGAAACUUAUAAUAUUUGGAAAAAGAAAGAUUUCACUGCAUGUGAAAUUAUUGUAAGUUCAAUUACUGAUGAUGUCAUCCAUAAAUGUGAGCAAUAUCCUAGUGCUCAAGCCAUGUGGGCACAUUUAAAAGAGGCAUAUGUCGGUACAACUGUGACUCGCGUUAGACAACUGACAAUCAAGUUUGAUACGUACAAGAAGCGUCAUGAUCAUAGUGUCAAGCAACACUUAAGGGUGAUGUCAAACAUGACUGCUCAACUGAAAAGUGUUGGUCAUGUUCUCUCCGAUGAGCAGUAGGUUCAAGCAGUGAUCUGGUCUCUUCCCAAUAAUCGGGAAUAUUUGAAGGUUAACUUGACCCACAAUGACAAUAUCAAAACUUUUGCUGAUGUUGCCCGUCAUGUAGAGCUUGAAGAUGAGCGGCUUUGUGAUGCUAAAGUUGUAUUUAGUGUCUUUGUGGCAGAGUCAAGUGGUACAAAGAGUUCAAGAUUCAAGCACAAGAAUAACUGGAAAAACAACGGAAAGGGUAAGGAGAGCGGAGAAGGAUCCUCAAAGAAAAGAAACAAGCCAAAUUCCAAGAAACGAAAACGGUUCUUUAAGAAGAAAGAUAAGAGCAAGAUUGUCACGACCCAAUUUCGCCUAUAGGUCGUGAUGGCGCCCAACAUUACCGCUAGGCAAACCAACUAGUGAAUUAAACAUAUAUUUCCUCUUUUAAUAAAUUUUCGAGUAAUUAAACUUCCUUAUUUGCAAGAUUUAAGAAAAUAAAAGGUUUAAAUAAAUAAAACCAACGUAAUAAUUCAAUACCACAAUUCUACUAGUGUGUGUGCCAAGACCUGGUGUCACAAGUGUAUGAGCAUCUAGUAGAUUAUAAAAAAUUCUAAAUAAUGUCUGAACAUAAAAUAGAUAGAAUACGAAUACGAAGAGAGACACUAGGUGUUGCGGUACGGCUCAGGAAAAGUAGCUCACCACUAGGCCUCGGGAUAUCGGGGAUGCGCACCGGUAGGACCGCCUGAUGCACCUGUCUCAGAUCCUACACAAAAGUGCACCAAGUGUAGCAUGAGUACGUAAACAACGUGUACCCAGUAAGUAUCAAAUCUAAUCUCGAAAAAGUAGUGACGAGAGGUCGACUUCGACACUCACUAUGGGUCAAUAAUUAUUCAGAUAAAAUCUUAAUUAAAUACUGGAUGUGUAAAUAAAUUCAAAUCUUCUCAACAAGCAGGAGCAAAUGAUUCUUUCACAAUUGUAUAAUUUUCAAAUAAAUCAUUCCUUUUUAAAGGUUGUAAUCUUACAAGCCACAACAAAAUAUCAAGACACCAAGUAUUAUUAUUAAGCACGAUUUAUGCCGAGGUCGUACGGCCCGAUCCAGAGUAACGUGUGCACUGCUGAGGGAUGUGCGGCACGAUCCAUAGUUGCAUCUAUCUACUGCCGAGGCGUUCGGCCCGCUCCACAAGAAGAGAAGGAUACUUUAUAAGCAUUUGACUUAACAUGAUUAAAGAUUUAUAUAGAAAGUAAUAAAAAUUUCAUUAACUACCUUCCAUAAUUUCUCUAACAAGUUCUAAUAUAAUUUAGGCAUUUUAAUUUAACAAAUAUGGUGCAAGGAUUCCAAAUAGUUCAUGCAUUGGGUCCUAAAACUACCCGUACAUAAGCAUAACUAGUAGCUACGCACAGACUCUCGUCACCUCGUACGUACGUAGCCUCCACAAUUAGAAACAAUUAUUUAUUUACGAUACCUAUGGGGUAAAUUCCCUCUUACAAAGUUAGACAAGAGACUUACCUCGUCUCAAAGCUCACUUCCGGUCGCUAUUUCACGCUAAAGCCUCAAUUUGGUGCCAAAAAAUCCGAAACUAGUCAAAUAUUAUAUAAUUUAAUCAAUACAUGCUCAAUAAUUCGAAAUUAAAUUAUUAGAUUAAUUACCUAACCCGAAUUGGUAGAAUUCCUAAAAUUCACCCGGGCCCCGGAUUCCGAAAAUAUUUGGAGCAAAUCGUCACCCAUAAUCUUAAGAACUCAAAUAUACAAUUUUCAUCCCAUUCCAUAAUCAUUUUCGUGGUUAAAUAUCAUUCUUAUCAAAACCUAGGUUUUUUAUCUAAACCCAUAAUAUUUACUAAUUUACAUGUUAAAAUCUACCCAUAAUCUAUGUAUUUAACUCACAAUAGGUAGAAUUAACUUACCUCCAAGUUGCUAGGUGAAUACCCCUCUUAAGAAGCUCCAAAAUCGCCCCAAAAAUGAAGAAAAUGAGUCAAAAAUACUCAAACCCCGACUUAAAUGAAGGUUCUGCCUUCUGUGAUUUUCGCACCUGCGGAGGUACAAGCGGUCCCUCCCUCGCACCUGCGCGCUCGUAGGUGCGCCCAAUUGCUUCGCUCCUGCGGCUUUUGAGCUGCCCCCGCUGGACCGCUUCUGCGGCUUCUUGCUCACAUCUGCGAGCUCGCACCUGUGGCUGUCCAUGUGCAUGUGCGAUUACAUCAGAAGUUGGAAGCUUCAGCCAUUGCUCCUAAGUCCAAAUUUGGUCCGAGCCUCGUCUGAUUAACACCCGAGGCCCCCGGGGCCCCGCCCGAAUAUACCAACAAGUUUGAAAUCAUAACACGGACUUGCUCAAACUCUUGGAACGCAUAAAACAACAUCAAAACUAAGAAUCAUACCCCAAACCAAAUUGAUUCAACUUAGAAACUUCAAGUUCUUCAAGCUUACUCCGAAUGUGCCGAAACAUACUUAAACAACUCGUAAUGACAUCAAAUUUUGCGUGCAAGUAUUAAAUCACCAUACGGAACUAUUCCCAUGCUUAGAAUUCCAAACGGAUCUUGAUUACUCCAAACCAAAUUUGAAGAACUUUAAACCUUCAAAUAGCCAACUUUCACUAUUAAGCGCUGAAACGCUCCCGGGUCGUCCAAAACCUGAUUCGAACAUACGCCCGAGUCCAAAAUCAUCAUAAAAAUAUAUUGGAACCGUCAAAUCCCGAUUCCGGGGUGGUUUACUCAAAAUAUUGACCGAAGUCAAACUUACCCUUUUAAAGCCAAAUUAAGAAACCAAGUAUUCCGCUUUCAACCCGAACCCUUCAAAUUCCUGAACUAACCAUCCCCGGAAGUUAUAAAAUAGUAAAAGCACAUACGGAGAGUCUUAUUUAGAAAAAUAGACUUCUAAAAGGCAAAACAACCGAUUGGGUCGUUACAAAGAUGACGUACUAUAAUUGCCAAGUUCCGGGGCAUUUUGCUCAUGAGUGCACUGAGCCAAAAAAGGUAGCAUUUCAAAAUGCAUAUCUAAGUGCCGUGAUACAAAAGUAUUUAUAGAGUUUUGUCGAGUUCCACCUGGAUCAAGGCAUGUAUAUGUGGGAAAUAAUACAAAGCUUGAAGUCAAAGGGAUAGGCACUUGUAGAAUGGACAUACUUGGUGGCCGAUCUUUGAUGUUGCAUGACGUCCUAUAUGUUUCAGAGAUUCGACGAAACUUAGUGUUUGUGUCUGUUCUUCAAGAUUUAGCUUUCAAUUUGAACUUUAGUCGCCAUGGACUUAGAAUUACUCUAGACAAUGUUGUUUAUAGUUUUGGACAUCAUUAUAAUGGUUUUAUUGUAUUAGAUUAUGAUCCUUCUACAUAUAACUAUUAUGUUGACCGUUAUGUUACGGCAUGUUAUUCUAGCAAUAUUGAUAUUGAUGUUAUUACAUGGCAUGCAAGAUUAGGUCACAUAGGGCAGGAUCGAAUGAAUAGAUUGGCUAAGGAAGGACAUUUGGGUUCUUUCUCUAAAAUUGAAAUGCCAACUUGUGAAAAUAGUCUUACCGAAAAGAUUACACGUAAACCAUUUAGAAAGGCUAAGAGAUCUGAUUUUCCAUUGCGAUUAAUCUAUUCUGAUAUUUGUGGUCCAAUGAAUGUGAGGGCUAUCUGGUGCUUUAUAUUUCAUUACGUUCAUUGACGAUUUCACGCGUUUUGGUUAUGUCUAUGUGAUUUUCCAUAAAUCUGAAGCACUUGAAUACUUUAAGAAAUAUUUGAAUGAAGUUGAGAAUCAAUUAGACAAAAGGAUUAAGACCUUAAGAACCGAUAGAUAGCGUGAAUAUCUAUCAAAAGAAUUUAAAGGAUUGUGUAAUAAAAUAGGCAUUACCAGAUAAUUAUUUCUUACACACCUUAACAAAAUGGUGUAGCGGAAAGGAGGAAUAGAAUAUUAUUGGAUAUGAUAAGGUCCAUGAUGGCGCAGAAAAAAUUACUUAUUUCCUUUUAGGGGAUGAGUUAUUGACUACAACCUACAUAUUGAUCAAAAUAACUUCUAAAUCAAUUUCUUUCACUCCUUAUGAGCUAUGGACUGGUCACAAAGCAAACUUAAAUGAUUUACGACAUUGAGGUUGUACUGCAUAUGUAAAAGAUUCUUUUAACAAAUUUUGUAAAUUAGGUCCAAAAGGUAAGAAAUGUAUCUUUAUAAGAAAUUCAGAACACUCCAAAGGGUAUGUGUUUAUUUGUGAGUUAGAGGAUGGAAGUGUUACUGAGAUUGAAUCAUGAGAUGUCACAUUUUUGGAAAAUAAUUUUUCAAAGAAGAGCGGUGUAAAGAAUGGAGAGCCUCUUUAUGUAAUGUUGAACUUAGAUAGUCAGCAAGUGUCUUCUGACACAAGUUGAUAAUCAAAUCGAUAAAGAUCUUGUUCUUGAUCCGAGUGGGAGUGAGACUGCUCAAUCCCAAAAUCCUUCUAACGAAUCUGAAUUUCAACUACGAAAGAGUACCAAGAAAAAUAUACCCAAACGUACUUAUGGGAUUGAAGAUUACAUUUUCUUGGUAUCUCCCACAGAAAUGGAUGAGCCAAAGUCUGUGACUGAGGCUUUAUCGAGCCCUGAAAAAGAUGAGUGGAUGAAAGCAAUGAAAGAAGAAUUAGAGUCCAUGAAAACUAACAAUUUCUGGGAUCUAGUUGACCUUCCACUUUGGCGUAGAGCCAUUGGGAACAAGUGGGUUCUCAAAGUUAAACGCAAAGUGGAUGGGUCAAUAGAAAGAUACAAGACAUGAUUAGAGGCAAAAGGCUCUACUCAAGAAGUUGGAAUAGAUUAUGAGGAAAUAUUUUCACAGUUGUAAAGUUACCUCAAUUCGCUUAUUUUUGGCUAUUGUUGCUCUACUAUUGCAUGCACAAAAGAUCCUAAGUAUCACAGCAAGACCAAACACAUUGACAUCAAGCAUAACUUUGUGAGAAACAUGGUUGCAAGUGGAAAGAUAAAUUUACAGUACAUUCCUAUGCGAAAUAUGAUAGAUGAUCCUUUUACAAAGGCGAUAUCUAGAGACUUGUUUGAGAAAUAUGUUAUGACUCUAGUUUUGCGAAGGAUAUAAACAUAUUUAUGUAUUGUAAAAAGACUUAUUAUUGUGAGCACCUAAUUUUUGACUAUAUUUGAACUUUUAUCACCUUUUCACCAAUACCUCACUUCCCAUUUCCCACUAACACUCCCACUUUUCCCACUCACUUUCCACUUCCCCCACUUUCCCCAUUCAUGUCCCCCACUCUCCCCUCUCAUGCUCCCCACUCACCUCCCCCAUUCUCUCUUACAUAAACAACUCACGCAUAGCACACAAGAAGAGGAUGGGGCUGAUAUUGUCUUCUUCUUCCUAACCACACUCUAUCUUCUUGUAUCAAAAAACUCCAUUAAACCCCCACCAAAAUGCAGCUCCAAAAACAGUCUUUAUUCCUCAACGAAAACAUCUCAAAAUCAACGCUAAAACACAGCCACAACAGUACCCAAGAACAACCAAAACGCUGCCAGUUUGCACCCUCACAACAGGCCUAAACUUGCUCCCAAACACAAGCUAAAAGUUGCUGAAAUCAGUUGGAAAACGCAGCAAACACAGCUGCAAAUCACCACCCAAAUUUCAGUUCUAAAUCAGCCCUAAAAUCUCACCCCAAACAACUGCGAAAAUAGCUUCAGAAACAGCCACGAAAUCCAGCUGAACCACAUUCAAAAAGCACCAUUAAAAUCACCUUCUAAACACCUCAUUUUAGCUUCGAAAACCUCACCCAAAACUAGCUGAAAACAGUGAUGAAAAUCAGCUCCUUUCAACAAAAAAAAAACUUAACAAAACCUGCUGUAAACUCACUCCAAAAUACCCCAGAAUACAGCUUCAAAAUAAGUGCAAAAUCAAUUCCGAAAUCAUCGCCAAAGUGAGGGAGUGUUCGAGUUUUCCGAUUUGAGGUUCUGGUCAAUAGCUCAUUCACUCCAGUUUGCUAUUUUAGAGAUCUUAUUUCACUGUACAUGGCAAAAAAUAUGCAGCAAUAAAGGUCCAAAUUCUUCUCCCAUCUAUUAGUUCCUUUUAAUUUUAUAUGUAUGUGAGGUUUUGUUUGGCAUGUAUUCUAUGAAUAUGUCGAUUGUUUGAUUAUUGGAUGGAUGCAUCUUGUCUUAGUAAUUAUGUUGAGGUUAAUUGUUUAGAGUGAGCAAGAUAAUUUAUUAUUAAUUGAGCAAAUAUCGUUGAUUAACAAAAGUAGGAGGGUAUUUUUGAUCUCACUGGAUUGCCCUUUAUUUGAGCUUAAACUAAUUUGUAAAGUUGAAAAUUAAGAGUUAGAAGGAUUGUUAGCUUUGGCUGAAGCUUAUCACCAUAAUUGAGCCUUGGUUGUUAUUGUCUUGUAAAAGAAAUGGGCCAAACGUAAUUUCUACUAAUAGGCCCAAAACGUUGAAUGAUUUCAAGAUAGAAUGUUAGUAAUUUGUUUAGUUGUAGAUAUCUCUAAUCGUUUAGCAAUACAAUUGAUUUUGUUAGUAAUUCAUAAAAGCCAAAUCUCGCAUUUUUCUACAAUAAUUUUCAUAACCCAUGACCUUCAUAAUAAUCUCAAACUGUAGGAAAAAAUAAAUUAAUUAUACAUUCGUAGCUUGCUUUGGGCGCAUUUAAUAAAUCAUCGUGACUAUGGGUACGGUUCCCGUGGCAUGGUCACGACACAUAAUCCCCAAUUCGAGUGUGCGUUUCACGUGACUCGACUACAACUUCAAACAAUAAUAAAUAAAAUUAAACACGUUGUAGAUUGCGGGUGCGUUUCACAUGACGCGAUUUACGAUGUGUAUAAACAACGAGUGUACGACAACGUAACUCGUCUCAUAUUAAUUCCAUAAAAGUUUAAAAUGCAGUAAUGUAAUAAAAGCGGUAAAAGGAAUAAAAAUGCACAUAUAGGUUUAAAACAUGUAUUAAAUCAGAUAACUAGACCAAUUAUUAAUAGUUGAGCGACCGUGCUAAAAUCACGGAAUUCGGGAGUGCCUCACACCUUCUCUCGGGUUAACAAAAUUCCUUACCCGGUCUUUUGUGUUCGCAAAUCAUAAAUAAGAGUCAAUUUUUCUCGAUUUGGGAUCGAUUCUAAAAUAAAUCGGUGACUUGAGACACCAUAAAUUAUUCCAAGUGGCGACUCUGAAUAAAACAAAUAAUCCCAUUUUGAAUAAUGUUACUUUAAUUGAAAAAACUCCCUAUCUCCUAUUCCUUCGGAAAAAAGUAGGUGUGACAAUUAUUAUAAUGUGCUCAUCAAUAUUUGACUUUGAAUUUAUGUUUAUAUCUAAUAUGCAUGUAAUGAUAUUUUGUUGACAAAGUGUGUCGAACAAGUCGCAAGAUUGACUCUCUCACACGAGUAAUCGCCUCUUACGUUGAGAAUCAUGAAAGAGAUGAGACCAUACAAAACCUUGAAUAGUGCGAGGUCAUAUUUUACUUGUAAAGGUCGGUCUUGACAACUAGUCUGACUUACAAAUUCCACUAUUUGAUUAUGACUUGUUUGGUAAGCCAGACGCGAGUUUCUCUAAGAAGAUGGAUUAAGGAUUAUUGAAGUGAGAAAUUCGAGUUAGACAUAUGUAGGUAUCUAGGCCAAGAUCUAUACGGUAUUGAAUGAGUAAAAGAAUAAGACACACACGCACUAAUAUAUGGUAAGAACACCGUAACACGUAUUUCAUACCAUGUGUGCUAACGACUAAUGGGAUAAUGGAAGAAUUGAUCCCUGCUUAUUAAUUGUGUGAGAUCUCCAAAAGUUAUAUUAACUUUUAUUGGAAUACCCUUUGACCUUUUACUAUUUCUUGAAGUGCCAAUCAAUGUUGCUAGUUUAGCAUGUCACUAGUAGCUAUGAGUGAUUCGGCAAUGCUGUGCAUGUCUAGGAAAGCAGUUGAUUUGGAAUGGAAAUAUUCGAGUAGACAGGGAAGACGACUAAAGUUUAGUAAUUUGAUUUGUAUUCAUAGGUCGACCAAUACACUUACCAUGAGAGUAUUGGGUGUAAUUAUGGAUACAAUGUUAUACGAGAACUCGAGUUUGCCUCUUUCGAGGAUGAGGGAUCGGAUAAGUAGCUACUAAAAUAGCUAAUGAUGUCUCAGGUAUUGCGAGUAAUAAGACCCUCAUGUUAGUAGUAAACCCCUUCCGCAUGUGAUUGGAUUUAUGCAUAGAGCUGUUAAACAACCUUAAAGGGUUUAAGAAUAUUACGACUCUUAAUGCCCGCAUGUCGCACGACCUAUUUACAAGUAUGAAUUAUGUGUGUUAUUUUCAUAGUAGUUACUAGUUUGGAUCUAGUCCACCUGUGCGAAAUGGGAGAUGUUGGAUAUUAGGUUUGGGUCGCGGGUCGCUCAUUUGGAUUGACCCGACCCGUUUUAGAAGAGAUUAAAUUUAAGGAGGUUACUAACGAAGGUUUUAUAACUCCUAAAACCUACCGCACAUUAUUGAGAAAUGUGGGAACAUGCAGUUUUCAUCGGUAGUUUUUGCUCUAUUCCUCCUCUAUAUAUCUCUCAUGCAGAAGAAUUCUCAAGCGUGUGAAAAUUUUCUAUUCUUAUCCCAACAUAACACACGUACAAAAGAGGAAAGACUUUAGUUUGUGAAAUAAACUUUGUUUCCUAGUGAUUCACAUGCUGAACCCGGUAAACAAAUAAAUAGGUGGUCUUUCCGAAAAUGUUAAACAAAAGUUUUUCCCUCGCAUCUCGAUCACUUUUACUUUUUCGUUAUUUUGUAAUCCCCAGGGUAUGAUACCUUAUAGCUUCACAGUUACAAGUCAUUUUCUCAUUACUUUGGGUCUCUCAUUUUCUAUUUUUAUUGGUAUUACUAUAGUGAGAUUUUAAAAAAAUGGACUUCAUUUUUUAAGCUUCUUAUUACCUGCAGGAGUCCCACUGCCAUUAGCACCUUAUUCGGGGCAAUUAUCUUGGUAGCAAUUGGAACAAUUUCCGCUGCAUAACAAGGUACACAUAAUUUAUUGCUCUUGCUCCUUAAUUCAAUUUACACUUGGAAACUCAUCUUCAAAAGAACUUUCAAAAAAGUAGUCCAGCUCCAGCGUAAAACGAAACAGGUUUUGAAAAAAAAUAAAAAAUAAAAAGAGAACAAUUUUGUAUGCACAAAUGGCUUAAUUCUACCAUAUGAAAAAUAGCAGUUUCGUUGCUUGAAGAAUAAUCAUAACUACUUUACAAGUCAUUGAUUAAGUAAUCUUUCUUUACAUGUCACUGUGUCUCUUUAGUAAAAGAUUUUAAAAAAAAUUUAAAUGGUGUAAUAAUGUACUCGUCAAGCAUUCAAGUCUUUUAGGUUUUAUUGUGAAACAAGCUGACUUUGUAAGGACUUAUGGGCUAGAAGUGUGAAUGAGUUUGAUCCAGUUGGAAUUAUUGGGCCUAACAAAAUAUUGAAGAUGAAUUUACUCAAAUAGCCGCCCUAUAAUCACUUAAAUUAAAAAGAAGAAUUAACCCAAAUAGCUGUCCACCCAACCGUUUAAAGUAAAAAUAAUCGGUGGAGGUAUAAUAUAUGCAUAAUUUAUGUAUUAUAUCUUUAUAAUUACUAGUUUCUCGGCACGUGCGUUGGAGGCAUGUAGUAUAUACUUUUUGUAAAUAAUAUUAAUAUUAUUAAAACAAAACUUUGAGUAAAAAUUAUACAUAAACGAAAAAUGUAUACAUGAAAGGAAUAAUACGUAAAGUUUUCCGCAAAAUAUAUACAAGUCCAUGUGUUCCUAAAAGUAUGCUUUUGCUUACACAAAUCACCAAACCAUCGUGUCCAAUAUUAUAAAUUUCUAAUCAAUUAUUUUAGUAAUCCAAAAGAUCUACUUCAAACCGUUUGUGCAUUGUUGAAUCAUAUCGCGAGUUGUGUUGAUUUGCAUAUAUUCGUCACACAGAAGAAAUUAACUAUAAUUAUAUUUUGACGAAAGGUUAUGCUACAAAGUACAAACUAUAGACUAGCGAAAAACAAAAAUUAUUGAACCAAUUGUUAUGAAGAUGAACAACAACCAAAAAAAAACAAAAAAAAAACAAACAAAAGACGCAUUAAAGUUAUUUAUCGAGUAGGAUAUAAAUUUUUUAAAAGAAUAAUUCAAUUGGACUCAUUUCAAAAUAUGGACUAAUCCAGCAAAACACUUUGUGUAGGAGCUACUGCAUUUGCAAGGUUAGCUAUUUGAUCUCAUUUCACUUAUCGUGAUAGAUUCAUAUCGAUUAUGUACUGAUCAGUGACCACAAUCACGUAUGGAUGUUGGUUUAUUACAUUCACGAUAAACUACUUAUAGUUUGUUUGACCAAUCUUUUAAAAUCGGCUUAUUUUGAGAAAUACUUUUCAAAAAAAUACUUUCGGUGAGAAGCAGCUUGUGUUUCGCUAAUUAAUUUGAAAAAUAUUUUUCAGUAGCAAUUAGUGUUUGGUCAAGCUUUUAAAAAGUGUUUCUAAGUGUAUUUUCUCAAAAGUUUUUUUUUUAAAAAGUGCUUUAGGAGAGAAACUAUUUUUUUUGCUCCUCAAAAACUACUUCUACUCAAAUACAUUUUUUCUUCUUCUAAAAGCUUNGCCAAACANNNNNNNNNNNNNUUCUUACUUCUAAAAGACUUAGCCAAACACUAUAAACUUUGGAAAAAAAAAAUACUUUUGACUUUGAAAAAGUUUGGCUAAACAUGCUAUUAGUAUGGAAUCAUAAAAUCUUAUAUCUUCAUGCUUGCUAAAUCAGUUACCUCUUAUUUUUCCCUCAUCACAGUCUUGAUUUUUAAUCUUUUGUAACUUCAUAAAGUGUGGACUUCAAGUGUAUCAAUGAGUGCAUCACCAUUAACUUGCAAUAUGAGAGCAACCAGAGUAGCACCCAAAGUCCUUUCAAUUACAGUACUAAACAGUGCUAGUCAUUACAUUACAUCUUCGAAUAUUUAUUCACACUAAAUAGUCCUUUCAACUACCUAACUGUAAAUUUUCAAUAUUUAUAAUAUUCUAUCUAAGCGUAAAUUUUUUAAUAUUUUUUGUCUAUUAAGUUAUUGCUUGCUUAUAUUUUUUAAGUUCAUAUGUACUAAGUUGGAACAGAAUCUGAAAAUUUAUGUAGUCUGCUAAUAUUCUGUGGAGAAUCUGCAUAUAUGUCUAAAAUUCAUAAUAUAUAUAUAUAUAUAUAUAUAUAUAAAAGAAACUAUAUCAAUACUAAUUAAGAGGAAUUUAUGCCUCUUACUAUGUUGGAUUUCAUAUUUUAAGAUAGUUAAACACUAUAAAUCGCCGGAACCUUUUUCUCUUUUUUUCAUUCAAAUCGCAACAUCAUUGUUUACCUGUAAAAUGAUACAGUUGAAUUUAUAUGUGGUUUCUAGACAAGUGAACUAAUUUAAUUCUGAAAUAAUAUAAUAAUUGAAGAAAUACACAAUACUUAGUAUUAGAAUGUAGAUGAAAUGGCAAAGAUGAUGAUUUCGUGAACAAGGUUUCCGAACACAGCAAUGAUAAGAUCUAAAAGUAAGAAAGUAUAAUUGUAUAAAGCUUUGUAUAGAAUAUAGUAUAUGUUCUUGUGAGAAAGUUCGUGUCCUUUACAAUAGUAACUGAGCUCACUAUUUAUAACUAUGCCUAGAGAAAAAGAUCCUAAUUCAACUUCGUGGUAAUGAAACGUACCCGCUCCGGGUCCGAAAUCUCUUUUAGUUCGAAAUACUGGUCCAUCGCGAUUAACCAGUCUAAGACCAUGUCACGGAGGGGUCUCGGCUUCCAUAAAAAAAAUAGGAUCAUGCCCUCCUUUAAUGCCAAUCAUGAGGGUCAUUGAUGAAGAUGUAACGUUGAGUAUAAAUGUCUAAUUCUCUGUAACGGACCGUCGCUCUUAAUGUUGUAGAAUAUUCCUUAGUAAAUAUUACCGGGCGUAGAGCAUUUAAUACACUUUUAUGAGCGUUAUCCGUUUCGGUGAUAAGCGUAAUGGCUGCGUUCUGUCCUCAACCAUCCCAUCUUGGAUUCCACGUGUCCUCCUUUUAGUCAUCCACGUGUCAUAUCAUAUAUACAGAUAGUCCCCCUGCUUUCCGGUAACAUAACUUUGUGUUACCGGAAAGUUGGUAGAAAUACCUUUUUGGCGAGAAUUACUAUAACUCCCUCUGGAGGUCUCUGACAGUUGAUUAGACGUACGUCUCUCCGUAUUUAAUGCCCCGAACACGCGUCAUCCCAUGAUUCAGCACAACUUUUGCCGAUUAUCGAGGUAAUCAUGUCUAUGAAUUUAGCCGCCAAAAUUUUACUUAUACGCAACUUUCUUUUCCUUUACGUUUCACAAUUGCUUGAGCUUCUGAUUUGCAUCCUUGUUUUCCAUUCUUUUUCUAAUUUUCUUCAAACAUAAACUCUUUACCUUCUUCUUUUCCAAUGGCUUCUUCUUCUAAACAUGGUGGUUCUUCAAAGAAUAAGAAAAAAAUUGAGGACUCUUGAUCUAUCGGAGCGAGUGACCCUUCCCAAGGAAGAUUUUAUAUACUUUUUCACGUAUCCCUUUACUUUGGGUGAGUUUUCUUUGAGCGGAGAUCUUGAUUUCGUGAUUGCGGAGUUUUGCCUUCGUUACCAGGUAUGUUUGUCACAGGUAAGUCCUUCAGUGUGGAGGACGAUCUCCUGCCUCCGACGCUUGUGCCAAGAAACUGGAGAAGAGCUAACCUUAGCUCAUGCGAAGAAUCUCUAUUCCCCCAAAAUCUUCCGCGGAGGAAUGAUAAACCUUUAUAAUCGUGACCACCAUGCUUUGUUGUCUAGCAUGGAUGAUGACAAUGAUCGUGGGUGGAUAGAACGGUUCGUUGCAGUGGCCACCAAUGACAUCAUUCCGACAACGGCUUCACCCUUUCCGGUUGCUUGGAACCUCACUCGUAAGUUCUUUGUAUAAUAUUCCUCUUAUUAAAUAUUCUUCUAUGGCCGUAUCAUCUCUUCACUCUUCGCAUGUUUCAGUAAUUCUAUGGCUCCCACCGAUAGUGGAAGGUUUGAACCGGUGGGUUCAGAAGAUUUUGGACAUCACAAUGCCCGAAACUUGUUCGUGAAAAAAACUGGCCCUUAAAUACGGGUGGAAGGACAAAAGUUAUGGUAACUCUAAUACCUUGUUUCCAUUUUUGCAUAUGAAGAACUUGGUUGAACCCUUCUGACUUUGUUCACAGAAUUAGGUUUACUUGCGGGCUCUGUUGUUGUCCCUGAAGAGGACGUUCUGGCUGAUCCUGCUGAUGCAACGAGGCUGCUUCAGGAAUAACUUACUCGAACAGGUAUCUCCAGGCUUGUUUCGAGUGCAAAUAUCUCUUUACGGAGUCCCCAGCCGAAGUAUAAACAAAUAAAGAGAAGACGUUCCUCCGCGGUUGGGGAAAAGAAUAAAAGGGCGAAGAUUGCUAUCCCCGAGUCAUAUCCGAUGGCGAUGAUGACUGGUCCUCCUUCUGGGUUGGUCAUAGACACUGUGAUGAUCGAUGAUGAUGAAGAAGCUGGUGAUGAGGGAGCUUCUUUACAGAAAAGGCUGCGAUCCUUAUCAUCUCAACAUGAUGCUCGACCUGUUGAGCUAAUUGCACCAACUGAAGGCGAUGUCUCAACACUUUAGGAAAAUCAGAUUUAGUGGAAUAUGCCAACUCCUAUUUUCGGGCCCCAAUUGUUGUAACCGGUGCUGCGGGGCUGAGUACCGGGUCCUUACCGCCUUUGGUUGGCGAGCAUUCAACAACCGGCACUGCAUUUGAUGUAGCUGCUUCUCAUUCUUCAACUCCAUUAGCUCCAUCUCCACCUUUGCCAACACCAGCAACUGCUACAUCACAUCCAUUUGCAUCCACUCUUCCACCAGCAGUUGUUAUAUCACCUCCAUCGGCCGCACCUGACCGUGAAAAAUAUGUUACUCUUCCACAGUCCUAAGUUCAUGGGAAUUUGGGGAAAAAUUAUGCCGCCCCUUCUGAAGAUCCACAAAGGAGGAGGAACAUUACUCUUUUGGUCUCUACCGGGUACAACUUGUUAUCCCGGCCGGUGGAUCUAGCUAAUUAUCUCAAGCCUUUGGCUUCAUAAAAGGACUGGGAAAAGAUUCAGGCAUUCUCGGGAGAGUGCUUGUUGAACAAUGCCAUGCACAAUGCCGCAACGGUACGUUCUUUUCUUCCUUCGUCACUUCUUCUACUUUAGUAUGAAUGUAUUCUAAGUUUUACUUCUUCUUGUUUUGUAGGCCAACUUUCUUGCUUUUGACGGCCUUCAAAGGUUGAUUCGUAAGAAGGAAGAACUUACUUCUGAACGGGAUCAGGUUUUGGCUGAACGGGACCAGACUGUUCUCUGCCUCUCAGAACUGGAAACCAAAGCUGCUGAGGCUACUGUCUUGGAGGCUCUUCUGCAGCAAAGCUAACAAGAAGUGGUAGCCCUUAGCCAAGAAAUUGGGCCGCUGAGGGUUAAUUUUGAUGAGGCCAAUGCCAUAUGGGCAGAAGUCCAGAACACCAUUCUUGUUGCAGUCGAUCGUAAGGCUGCCUCUGCUGAAAGAGUGAUUAACUUGGAGGCAACCUUGAACUCCAAAAGUGAAGAGCUUGCUGCCAUGGAGGUGAAACAUGCCCAGCUAGAAGAGAAGUAUAGGAAAACUAUUGAGUAUAAUAGGCUCUUAGUUCAACUGUCCGCGAGCUCGACGUCAACCUCCAAUCUGCUAGAUCCGUUCGGGAAAAUCUUUCCACCGAGGUUACUCAACUCAGAGAAGAACUUAAGUGCCGAGCGGCUUCCCUCAUUAUUGAAAAAACUUAUUCUAUGUAUAGCAUGAGGAGAAAAACCUUGGAAGAGGCCAAAGCUGGUAUCAUUGAUGUUGAUGCCAAAAUUGCUAAAGCCCGAGAGCUUGAGUUGGCUGCAAAAAAAGGACUCCCGGUACAGUCUGAUGCUCCAGAUUCUUUUGAUUCCUGUUUCGAUUUUUCGGAAACUGAAGAAGGAUCGGAAGGCGAUGAGGCCGAUGACCAAACUCGGAAAAGCGUUGAGCCAUCGGCGGGAUCACCUACUCUUUCCGGCAAUGCAGAUACUUCUCUUCCUCCUGGUCCCGGAGGCACUGCAGUUUAGCUUUUCCUUUCUUUUCUCAUUUUGUACUUGUAACUUUUUCGCCCGUUCUUGUGAAUAAAGACAUACUUUUUGUUCAAAUAUCGUUUGAGUCUUACUUUCGUUUGAAUAUCCAUGCAAGCUUUUAACUUUUGCAUUUGCUCAAGUAUUCUGCGCAUGUUGUUCAAUUCGCGCUUUACUAUGUGUAGUCUCGGAUGCCUUUUCUUCGAAGCAUUUUGGUUCCUAGUAUUAUCCCUUUUACGUGAGGGUUUCUAUGAAUAUUUGCGCAAGUUUUCUUUUUGCGUCCUUUUCAUAUGCAACUUCGGGUGUAUUUUCCCCGAUGGCAUUUUAGAUUCUGGCAUUGAUUCUUCCGGAACCAACCCUUUAACGUGAGGGUUUUUAUAAGAGAGGGCACUCUUAUGUUUACGGUGCUCUUGAAGAGGACGUCUCAUUUUCAUUACGGUACUAACAUUUGAAGUACUUGUUUAACUUUCAAAUGACAAAAUCAGCUCAUCGCUUAGACAAGAAACAAGAUAAAAGCAAAAGGAUUUCAUUUUAUUCUUUCUAUUUUCAGAAAUUACAUAAGCAUUUUGCUAUGUAGAAAAGAAAUUACCAUUACUUACGGCUAUCUUGUACAACUUGUUUCUACGGGGCUGGCUGCGUAGUCCCCGGUCCCGAUGAUGCAUUUUGUUUUCGAAUUUUCGUUCCCGGUUGACGUGGCAGUCAAUGUUGUCGUAUCAUCAUAUCAUUCUCCCCCUGUGUUUGAAUGCGAAGAAUGCGAAUUGGAACAUUGGAAGUCUUGUAUCUUAAAGGUCUCACCAAUGAAUUGCUAGGUAAUCCUUCACUCGACAACAUAUCUUUUUCCCCUUAGGAAUCCAUGCUAUCGAGCGAAAGAAUACCUAACAGUCCUCUGGCGGUUUGUACCGGUGAACGGUCGGGUAACCUCUGUUCGGUAGCAAACUUAACUUCCCGGUGGGAAUUUGCUAUCGAACCAAAGAUCACCUAAUCGUUCCCAGGUGAAAGUUUGUUCGCUUGCCUUGCAAUCAAAGGUCUUAUUGCUGCUGUCUUCGUAGUAUGUUUUCCGUCGCUGCCUCGUUUAAAACCUUACCAAAAAACCCAAUUGAGACAAAAACUGAACUUAGGGAAAAAAAGUGCAGCACAUACGUUCUGUUUAAGUGUUGUUAAUCAGCAAUAAUAUCUUUUGAGGUGUGCCACAUUCCAAUUGUUGGGCAACUAGUCCUCAUUCUGGUUCUCCAACUCGUAUGAACAUUUCCCAGUGAUAACUGAAAUCUGGUAAGGACAUUCCCACGUUGGACCUAGCUUUCCCGUGUUGAGCUCCCGGGUAUUUUGUGUUACUUUCCUUAGAACCAAGUCUCCUACUUUGAAAAAACGGAAAUUGGUUCUUCGAUUGUAAUAUCACUCCAUCCUCUGCUUUUGAGAUGCCAUUCUUACAUGCGCUAAGUCCCUGCGUUCUUCGAGCAAUUUCAAAUUGAUUAGCAUUGCUUCGUCCUUCUAUUCUUCAUUUGUCUGAGAAUAUCUCAAAGUGGUUUCGCCCACUUCUACUGGGAUUAAGGCUUCAGCAAUGUACACGAGGGAAAAAGGAGUUUCUCCUGUGCUUGAUUUGGCUGUUGUUCGGUAGGCCCAUAGAACUCCGGGCAACUCUUUGGGCCAUUUGCCUUUUACUGCUUUUAGCCUUUUCUUGAGGUUCUAAAUGAUCACUUUGUUUGUUGACUCCGCUUGACCAUUUGUGUUCGGAUGAUAAGGCGAGGAUGUGAUUUUCUUUAUUUUCAGGUCUUUGAAGAACUUUGUAACUUUUGCAGUGAUAAACUGUGGCCCAUUGUCGCAUGCUAUCUCUUUUGGUAUUUCGAACCUGCAAAUUAUAUUUUCCCAUAGGAAAUCGACCACUUCACGUUCUCCGAUCAUAUGAUAAGAACCUGUUUCUACCCAUUUAGAAAAAUAAUCAGUCAAAAUUAAAAGAAACCUUACCUUUCCGGGAGCUGGUGACAACGGUCAGACGAUAUCCAUCCCCUAUUUCAUGAACGACUACGGGGACAGAACCGAAUGUAAGGGUUCUGCCGUUUGAUGUACUAGUGAUGCAUAGCGUUGGCACUUAUCAUAUUUUCGUAUGAAGUCUUUGGCGUCUUGUUCCAUGCGAGGCCAAUAAUAUCCUGCCCGUACCAAUUUCAGCACCAAAGCCUCUGCGCCUGAGUGAUUGCUGCAUAUCCCUUCGUGGAUUUCUCUCAUGACAUAGUGAGCUUCUGAUACUCCUAAACACAGGGCCAACGGGCCUUGGAAAGAUUUUCUAUACAAUUGGCCUUUCCUGAAGCUAUAACGUGCAGCUUUGGUGCGUAACGCUCGUGACGCUUUGGGAUCAACGGGUAACUUUCUGUGCCCGAGGUAGUUGAUUAUUUCAUUUUUCCCGACUAGCCGAAUUCACUUCAUAGUAACCAUCCGUAUCAAGGACUGAACUCAUCAGUUGAACCAUCGUUAUGGACUCCGAUCCCUUUAAUUCCGUCGAUGAACCUAAGUUUGCUAAUGCAUUCGCUUCUACAUUAUCCUCUCUCGGGAUAUGAGUGGUUGACCACUCACGGAAUCGUGCCAAAAGAGCCUGGACCUUUAUCACAUAUUGCUACAUACGUUCUUCUUUGGUAUCAAAUAUCCCGUAAACCUGAUUUACCACUAGCUGUGAGUCGCAUUUGAUUUUGAUAACCUCGAAAUCAAGUCCCCGGGCCAAUUCAAGCCCUGUAAUCAAAGCUUCAUACUCUGCUUCAUUAAUAGUUAAAGGAAUUGUUCUGAUAGCUUGCCUUAAGGUUUCCCCCAAAGGCGUGAUUAAAACUAUUUCGAGCCUGAACCUUUUUACGUUUGAGGCCCCAUCCGUAAAUAAGGUCCAAACCCCUGAUGUCGAUUUCGACACCAUGACUGCCUCCUUGGUUGCCAAAGGUAGCAGUCCCGGACUAAAAUCAGCCACAAAGUUAGCCAAGACUUGUGACUUAAUUGCAGUCCUCGGUUUAUAUUCUAUGUCGAAUUCAUUCAUUUCGACGGCCCAUUUGGCUAAUCUGCCCGAGAGUUCGGGUUUAUGAAGUAUGUUCCACAAAGGAAAAGUAGUCACCACAAAUAUUGGGUGGCAUUGGAAAUAGGGCCUCUGCUUCCGAGCGUUGACUAUGAGAGCUAAGGCCAGUUUUUUUAAAUGCGGGUAGCGAGUUUCUGCUCCCAUUAAAAUUUUGCUAACAUAAUAAAUAGGAAAUUGCGUACCUUUGUCCUCUCUUACUAAAAUCGCACUUACCGCAACUUCUGAAACCGCGAGGUAGACCAGCAAUGUUUCGCCUCCUUUUGGUUUCGAGAGCAAUGGAGGGCUUGAUAAGUACUUCUUCAGGUCCCUCAAAGCCUGCUGGCACUCUAGCGUCCAUUCAAAAUUGUUCUUCUUUUUGAGCAAUGCAAAGAAGCGAUGACACUUUUUCGACGACCGGGAAAUGAACCCGCUCAAAGCUGUUAACCUUCCUAUGAGUCGUUGGACUUCUUUCACGUUUGAUAAUUGAUCCGGAUAUCGUCUAUGUCCUUGAUUUUAUUGGGGUUUACCUCAAUUCCCCUUUAUGAGACCAGAAAUCCAGGAACUUACCGGAGCUGACACCGCACGCGCACUUUUCGAGGUUAAGUUUCAUGUUAUGCUUCGUCAGGAUAUUGAAUGUUUCUUGAAAAUGCUUAAGGUGGUCACCUGCAUUCAAAGACUUAACGAGCAUAUCGUCUGUAUAAACUUCCAUGGUUUUUCCUAUUUGCUUUUCAAACAUCUUAUUUACGAGCCGUUGAUAAGUGGCUCCGGCAUUUUUCAACCCGAAAGGCAUUACAUUGUAACAAUAUGUACCGAAAUUUGUUAUAAAUACAGUCUUUUCCUGAUCUUCUAGGUUCAUCUUAAUUUGGUUGUACCCGGAAUAAGCAUCAAGGAAACUCAUCAGUUCGUGCCCGGCCGUGGCAUCAAUUAUUUGAUCGAUAUUUGGCAAUGGAAACAAAUCUUUCGGGAACGCCUUAUUAAUAUCUUUAUAAUCUACACACAUACGAAAUUUAUUGUUCUUCUUAGGACCUACUACUACAUUGUCUAGCCAGUCUGGAUAUCUUACCUCUCUGACCGAACCGAUUUUAAGCAAGCGAGUUACCUCUUCUUUGAUGAAUUUAUUCCUGGCCUCGGCAAUAGGGCACUUUUUUUGUUGUACCGGUGGUAUGUUGGGAUCCAGACUUAGCUUGUGCAUGAUUAUUUCCGUCGGGAUACCUGUCAUAUCCUCGUGUGACCAUGCAAAAUAAUCAGCGUUAAUUUUAAGGAAUUCAAUAAAACCAUACCUGAGCUCGGGGUGCAGCCCUGUUCCCAAGUGAAAUUUUCUUUCUAAAAAUUCUUCGAAUACUGACACUUGCUCUAGUUCCUCUGCCAUGGAUUUCGUUGCAUUCGUUUCUUUCGGAACAUGGAAAUAUGUCGGCACCUAAUAUUGUUCUAACGAUUCUGCCUCUGGAAUAACCUUUUCUAACUCGGGAGCAGGCGCCGGUUCUUGUAAUUGCUAUGCCGUGCACUCAUUCCCUUUGCUACUGGAAACUGAGAUCGCAUUCAUCUCCCUUGACGCCGGUUGGUCACCUCUUAUUUGCUUGAUUCCUUCGGGCGUUGGAAACUUCUGCAGUUGGUGAUACGUCGAAGGUACAAUUUUCAUCUCGUGUAACUAUGGCCUUCCUAAGAUAAUGUUAGAUCCCAUAUCACCAUCCACUACUUUGAAGAGAUUUGAUUUCAUUACUCAUUCAGCAUUUGUGAGCAGCAAGAUCUCCCCCCGGGUCGUCACGCUCACAAGGUUGAAUCCAGCGAGGAGUUUUGUCGCCGGAAUAAUGCUUCCAGUAAGUUUAGCUUGUUCCAAUACUCUCCAUUAUAUGAUAUUAGCCAAACUUCCUAGAUCCACUAGAACACGCUUAAUUUUAAAAUCUAACACAUUUAAAGAGAUUACCAGUGCGUCGUUGUGUGGUAACAACAAUCCGUCUGCGUCUUCCUCUGUGAAAGUGAUAUCAUCCUCCCGGAGUCUUUUGCUGUGAGUUAUCGAUAGUUUAGUCUUCUUUGCCGCCGAAAAGGUGAACCCGUUAAUCUCGUUCCCCCCAAAGAUCAUGUUAAUCAUUUGGCGUGGGGUUUCCUCUCCUAGUUUCGAGGAUUCCGCGUUGUCUCUGUUGCGAUCGUAAUUAUUCUUAGCUCGAUCACUCAAGAAUUCUCGGAGAUAACCAUUUUGUCAUACCAGUUCCCAAACAUAACAAUUUUCUAAUUGAACACUUACACUCAUUCAAACAGUGUAUAAUAAAUGCUUAUGACACGAGGCUGAUCCUAUGUGUCAUAUUUGGCUUUAGUGCGUGAUUCACACGCCUGUAAGGGGCGUGGGUGAAGUUGAAAAAGCCCUAACGGUAAUAAUGUGGCCUAUUUAAAAGUCAUCUUCUUCUUUCUACCUUAUUCUCCAUUGUUGAACAUUAUAGAAGCUGAUUUCUAUCAAAUCUGAUGCCUCUUCUUCUUUCUCGUGUUAGCUUUAACAGUGAAAGUCGAUUUAUUUCUUCUUCUCCGGUAAGAAAUAAGCUAUUGCCGCGUCUUCUCCUUCAACAAUGAAUAAGGAGCCUUUGUGUUAUUGUGAACUUGCUGCAGAUCUUAAAAUAUCACGAACACCCACCAAUCUUUGAAGAAGGUUCCUAGGCUGCCGAAGAUAUGAGAUUGGUGAAGGUUGUGGCUUUUUUCGAUGGGUUAAUCCAGUGAUUAAGGAAGAACACUACAAGACUCUUCUUGCGGGUCUUAUUAAGAAGAGUGAUCGAUGCCAUUGUCAGAGAAGACAAGGAAGGUGGAAGUUCAGAGUUGCUGCUAUUAUAAUUGCGGUUGUAGUUGUUAUAAUGUUAGCUCUUAUGUUAUGUGUUUAGGAUUGACAACGUACUUUCUUAUUUCCUGGGUUUAGGCUAUAUAUUUUUUGUUGAUGUAAAAUUUUGUUCAUGGAAUAUAUUGACAAAGGUUCCAUUACAGCAAAAAGUACAGGAACUACUAAUAUCAUAGCCUGAUAUAGGCAGUUAAUAAAACAACCAAAAUAAGGAAGUUGCUUUACAAAAUAUUGUCUACGAUAGGCAGUCAACAAAAACGUACAUAAUGAAGUAGCUUUACAAAAUAUUGUCUACCAUAGGCAGUUAACAAAAACAUCCAUCAUUAAGUCUUCAAAUUAUUAGUUGAUCACUUCAAUUAAUGUCUGUUGUGGCUUGGUUGCUUGGUGUUGAUUGUGUCUUUGGUGUGGCUUGAGUGGUUUUAGGAGAGUUUGCCCUUCUGUAACUCUGUUCUUGCACCUGCCUUUAUGUAACUGCUGCUCGAACCUUCCACUUUAGUCCAGGGGGUUUGAACCUAAGUUCAAUGUUGGUAGGGGCAGAACUUAUGAGUGUAGAAGGAUUGUGUACUACUCUGUCAGUAGUUCCAGACUGCACAAAGAUAAAAGGCUGUGAGUGAGGGAUUAUCUAGUAAACCAUAUCUGUUGAUUGUGUAAUUAAGCGAAAAUAUUUACCCUUUUUAUCACAGUGCCACUUGAAUCAAAUAGCACACCAUAUCCUGCUACCUUUGGUCUCUUAGAUUCUGCAUUUGCACCACCUCUUCUAGGCUCAUUGGUCUUCCAUUUUGGACCUCCAACAACAUUAGUUGAUUGUUGUGUGCUUGGACCAGUGAUUGGUUGAGUGAAGGUGCCACUUUCCAUAGUUGAAGUUGUUGUUGCUGUUGAUGCACUUCCCCUAGUUCCAGCCCUUCCACCUGCUGUUGUUGAUGAAGCAUUUUCAGCAGUUUCACCUCCAACUGAACUAGUUAUAGACCUUCCCCCUUGUUUUCUUUGCGUACACAUAACAAAAAAAACGUUAGUAAUUGAAUUCAUCUGAUAAUGAGCACAAAGAACAUUAAUGCUUACUGCUUAUGGACAUCCUUUCUUGUUAUGUCCAAGAUUCUUGCACAAAGAACAUCUCAUUUGUCUCCCUAUCCUUGUACCCUUCCCAAACUUCUUUUUUGGUUCAUCAGCAGAUUUUCUCCUUUUUUUCUUUGGCCAUCCUGGCAUUGCAGUUAUAACAGGUGGCUCAAUAGCUGGCACUGUGCUUUUUGGCCACAAAUUCAUAUUAGUUAAAGGUUGAAUGAAUCUACUAUAUGCUUUAAGGUAGGUGUCCUUCCUAUACCAAUAGACAACACAUGGCUCAACCUCAUAGUUCUUAUAAUGCAUUGCUGUAAUUGCAUGUGCACAUGGAAUUCCUUUGAGUUGCCAUGAUCUACAAGUAUAGGAACACAUCCUAAAGUCAACAACAUGUUUAUAUGGCCCAUCCUGGAUCUCAUACCUUGUUUCACCAUUAAAUUUGACUUCAUAUUUUGUUGCCCUUUGAGCAUUCUCUCCAAGUAUUUUCAUAGCCAUGGGUGAUAUAUCACCUACCUAUUUUCCAGAAACCUCUCUCAUGCUAUUCAUCCUCUCCAUACACUUGAUUCUAAUUUCCUCUAACAUACUAAUGAUAGAUUUGUGCCUAGCUGCCAAUAUCCAACUAUUGAAUGUCUCACACAUGUUGUUCUCCACUACAUCACACUUACUAUUUUCUUUGAAGUAUGCCAUACACCAUGUCUCCUUGUUGUAUUUCAGUAAGUCUUGAGCAAUAUCUCCCCCCAACUGGUCCAUUUCAUCCAACUUCUUGCUAAAGUAAACUUCAAAUGUAGCUCUUGCACACUACCAAUAUUUUUUCCUUCUUUCCUCACCAGGCCAAGUUUGCUUCCAAUUAGCCCAGAUAUGUCUAGCACACCACCUCAUCUCAGCAUUUGGCAAUAACUGAUUUAUUGCUAUAUGAAGACCCUACAAUCAACAACAUUAUAUUGUUACAACUUACACAUAAAUGAAAACAAAUUACACUUUAGACAAAGUGUUAGAAAUUAUGCCUUCUGCAUAUCAGACAUGACUGUCACCCCUUCUCCUUUAGUUUCUGUCAAGUUCAGAUCAUGCUUGCAUAAUGUUCUGGAAUCGUAGCAUAUCUGUAGGAUUUGGAUAAGUGCAAGCUCAUUCCUUUUUCAUUUUUUAUCGCAUUCUUCCUUUACCAAUCCAUAAUUACUAGAACCACUUAAUUCUGACUUAAUGCCACAUCACUCCAUAUUCCCCCCUUUAUGGGAGUACUAAGAUUUAGCGCUACGACGAUCUACUUAUAGUUGUUUUAUAUAUUCAUAUUUGGCGUCUUCUCACAUCAUCGAUGACCCUUACUUGCCUUGCGAUAAUCCUUCUGUACCAUGGAUAACAAAUUUCCUUACUCGCGAGGGUGACACUUAGUAUAACUAGCACAUACAAUCCAUUAAGCUUAACUUUGCUCAUAUUGCUUGAUUUAGGGAAGCGUCCUCCUGAAUGACCUUUCUUUGAAUUUCUCAUGAAUAUUCUUUUGUUGUCCAUUCUAUUAUCGCUGGAAUGCAAUAUGAAAUUCUCAUGAUACCGACUAUUAUCAAAUCACUCAGUCCCUAAUUCAUGUUUAGUUUAUCUUGUUCACCAGUCCAUACUGAUUUGUAUUACUCUGGGAUAUAACUUUUCCUUUUGGUAAUCACGUUAGAGUCACAAACUUAUUUCUUGAAAUGAGGAUAUGACUUUAUGGCCUAUACUCUUUUGUUGUCUCAAGGCCUGUCACCUCUCGUCUUUUCCUUCACUUGACUAUAGACUCUGUGAUACUGUCAUUAUUUUUUCUACCGUUGUCAUCCAUGUAUCACAUCUUACUCAUAAUGCUUCAUUAAUUCUCUUCUUAUUUCCCUGCUAACAUUUCUGUCUAUCACUUUAUUCUGAAAAUUUCAACAAGCCAUUCUUUUGCUUUUAGCUCCCCUUGCUCCAUCCACUGGCUCUUCGGGUUGCCUAACAUUCUCUCUCUACUAGGGACGGGAGCCAUACUAAGGUAAUAUUUAUCCCUUCAAGGCUUCCAGUGCCUAUCUUUAUAGUACUCAUAUUUAGCUGUACUAUUUUAGAGUGCACCAUCUGUGUGUCUCACAAGGAGAUCUAUUAGAAUAUUUGCAAUAUCCUUCGGAAAUGUGAGCUAACGCUAACAAUUCAUCCACCAUUUUGGGUUACCCUAACCCCAGCUAGAUCCUGAUAUCCUGCCUUCUCUUAUACUACUUGUGUUAGCCUCAUAGGGCAUAAAUGAGAUGGGUGUGGCCAAUUGUACAUACCUCUGUUAUUGUUGAAGGUAACUCAAAAGGCUUAUAUUUCUCUGCCUGAAUUGUAAAUACUAAUAAUCUUCAUUAGCUGGGUACCUCAUACCCUUUUUCAUCUUGAUUCUUUUACUUGUUGAAAUUUGUAUCUAUGUUCUGAAUCUCUCAUUGCCUUUCACCAUAGGGGUGGAUAGAUAUUAUUGCCUUAAGGUUCCUUAUCAAGAAGCUUGCACGUCUUAGUACACACAUGUUCUGCUGAAGACCUCACAUUUAUCCAUCAUAAGAAUGAUGACAUCGAGUUCCUCUGACUCAAUUCUUCCACAGCUACAUUCAAUUUCUUAUCGACUAUUUUUCUGGAUGUAGGCAUCAUUGUAUUAUGACUAAGAUAGAGCUUAGGAAAUUGAGUUCUUACAAUUGAGCUCUACCACACGAUCUAGAGUAAGAAGAAAGAGUGACACUCCUAAAUGCCCUGUAGCCUCCUUCUUAUAAGUGUGGUACAUAACACACCCAUAAACAAGACUCUACUAGACACGACUUAUAGACUCCCUAGGACAGAACUGCUCUGAUACCACUUUUGUCAUGACGCAAACCGAUAGACCGCGACGGGCACCCGGUGCCUUACUUAACCGAGUACCAACAUAACGUAUCUUUCUUAUUACAUCAUCAUAGGUAAGUGGGCUAGAAGCGGUGUUAUAAGAUAAACAGAGUAAACAUGAGGGAAUCCCCGAUAUAGAACGACCCAACUUGAUAUAGAAACUCAUACAUGUGACAUACAAGCCUAUAAGGCCAAUGUGAUCCAUUAUAUACUUAAAACAUAUGCCGACAAAGCCAUACAAGUAUCCGUAUACAUGACAUCUGUCUACAAGCCUCUAAGAGUAAAUACUUAUUAUAAAGGUUGGGACAAAGCCCCGCCAUACCAAAUAAUACACGUCCAAAUCAUACUAACCAAACAAGCAACUCCGGAGCAAAUGGAGCGCACCAACAUCUUUCGCUGAGCUGAUAGCCUACUUGGAGGACUCUCAACCUGUCUAUCGGGAUCUGCGGACAUGAAAUGCAGUGUUCCCAAGAAAAAGGGAUGUCAGUACAAAUAAUAUACCGAGUAUGUAAGGAAUGAAAAUCAGUAAAUCAUAGACAUGAGAGAAACAUGGAGUAAAAGACUCGACAUGUAAGUCUGAAUAGCUCUGUCAAUCAUUUAAUAUUAUAAUGUCAUGCACAUGCGUAUAAAUGGCAUACCAUGCAUAAGUAUAUAUGUUCAUAACAUCAUCAAGCCUUUGAGGGUAUCCCAUCAUAUCAUCUCGGCCACUGUGGGCAAAAUCAUCAACGUAUACCAGCAGAUCAGGUGGUGGUGCGUAUAUAAUGCCAUAACCUUUUUCCAUAUCCCAUAUAUAUAUAUAUAUACGCGUAUAUAAUACCAUCUGGUCAUGGGUCAAUGUACAAAUAUAAAUGAAUGAAAUGCAUAAAAAUAAGUUAAUAAGAUCAAUAUACCUUUCGGAUAAACUUUAUCAAGUACAUAUUUUUCUGAGACCCUGAAUAGAAGAUGUAAUAAUAAGAUACAUGGGAAUUCAAGAAUAUAAGUACCUCUAAUACUUCUAUGAAUAGAGUUAUUUAUGAAAGUUGUGCAUUUGCUCGUUUCGUUUGUGUCGUAUGGAUCAUGCCAAAAAUAAGGAAGGGAUAGCCUUAAUAUAUCUGAACCGAUUUUCUUAAAAUUUGCAAUUCACGCUUUACAGAACAACCAACAACCGAUUCUCUUAGAAUUUGGUAUGGAAUUGUUUUGAUUACUUACUCACGACCAGCCCACUCUACUCACACAGGAGAUUCAAUUUGAUUUGUAAGACACUCAUGAAUUUACAGUGCAAAAACGUGAAGUAACUUGAUGGCAUGUAGUAUCUUGCUAAUUGUAGAAAGCCUUUAGUGGGUGUGGCCCACUUGGUGGAUGACUAAGCCACCCUAAUCCCUCAAAAUAUGACAUCUAUGCAAGACUUAAUGAGUCAUUUAAAUGGGAUGGAGUGCUGCCACGUAAUUCCUUAGUUGGGGGGUUUAAUCUUUAUCCAAUAAUUCCUUAAUUAAUUAGGUAAUAUCCCAUUACCAAUAAUUAACCAAUUACCCACACAUUUAAGAAUUAUCUCAAAUUACUUAAAAUACUACUCACUUUUAACACACUUUAUGUACCCUACUAUCGUGGUUAUGGGGUACCUUGUAUGGCAUUAGUUCAUAAAUACCGGGUAUUAUAGCUCGGACUGUAUUCUAUCUCAUAUUGACAAACUUCGAUGAAACUCAUUUUCUUUGAUUCGUUUACCCUUUACCCUUCACGGCACUUACUUAUCGCUUGUUAUAAAUAGCAUAAAUGCUUAUAACCUCAAGAUAAUCUCAUCCCCGAAUCUACGUCGAUUAACUGAAUAUGAAACUUUAACGUACUAAAACACGAGAUAUAACACCAAGCCUCCAAAUAACAUACAUAAGUGUGACAUAUAUAUCAUGUACAAGUUCCAAAACUGUACAACACCAUGGUGCAUAUGCAAAUGUGAUCUCCAUAAGUGCUCCCAAAAAGACUACUUCAUAAGGCCGUCUUCAAAUUUCAUCCCGUACAUUACCUAUGAUAGAAAACAACUAUCGCUAAGCAUAAAGCUUAGUGGCAUAUAAACUUUGGGCUUGGAGCCAUUAACUUCUCAAAUUCCUAUUUUCAGUCAUAGGUAGCUCAAAUGAAAUAUAAUUUAAAACAAGUGAACAAAUAUAUCAAAAGUAUCAAAUAUCAACCCUUGAAGUAUUUUCAAAUAUCAAUAACAAUGUUCAAGAUUCAAGAGUUGAGAAAGCGCAUACUAUCAAUCCAAAAAAGCUUGUCAAAUAUCCAUUUUUCACCCAAUGUGUACGUCAUGCCAUCACACUAAGCAAAAUCAGAUAUCAAUAUGGACCGAAGCCCCAAAUCAAGUAGGGUCAAAACCCAAUAGUCAACAGAAUCAAGAACCAUAUUAAAAAUGGCUUCCUAGUUCAUACUUAACACGGACAAUUUCCAUAAUUUAAGACAAAAGAUCCAAAUCAAGAGGCAUGCCAAGAUGAGUGACAAAGUCACUACCACAAGAAGGACAAAGUCCCAACAAGAAUGCAAAAUGAUCAAACAAUCCGUACGAGUGGGCGAUUUAGCAAAUAUCUUACAAUACUUGAUAUAACACGAAUACAAUGCUAUUAAUUGAAGACAAGAAAAAAACAAAAUAUCAGGCUAUUUCAAAAUAUUCCAGCAAGUAAAAAUAGUACAAAGUUUAUACACAAACCUUGGUGUUUUACCACAAAAUAGUUUAACCACAACUUGAGGACGUUCGAAUCGUCUACGCCCUAGACAAACCAAAUCCGUCCACAUCCUUAAACACUUCCCAUUAGCUUUUAUAAGGAUAUAUAUACCUUAAAUACAUAAUAAAAUAUCUAUAUAAGUUCAAUGAUUUAACAUGUCUAACUAAACAUGAUAUUGGUGAAAAUUACCCAAAGUGUUUGAAACAGAAAUUCUGUACAGUAUCACAGUCUCGUGUUGUGACUCAGAUUUGAAGAUAAAAAAGGACAAACUAGACAGUGUGGUCUUAUUUACAGUUGUAGAUAUGUGUAUUAGCGUUUCAGAACAUCUUGAAUCACCCCCAUAUCAAUUUUGUACAAAAAGGUUAUGCUAAACUUACUAACAGUAGUACAUGGAGGGUUUGUAAAACAGAAAAUCUGGGCAGCACCUGCUUUGUAUUUCAUCACCUAUUUUUUGGUAAAUAAAAGAUAAACCAAGUUUUGGUUCCUUCGUAAGAGUUAUAGAUCUAUGAAAUAGAUUUCCAGAAAGUCUUAGAUAACUUAAAACGGAGCUCUAUACAAAAUGAUAUGAAAAAAACACUAAUAGCUGUCUAGUGUAAAAACGGGUUUAGUAACUUACCACAAAAGAGAGGAGCAACUUUAGCUUCACCAAGAACGAAUUUUGCUGGUUGGUUUAGUGGAAAUUUAUGGUGGUUUUCAUGAAGUUUUCAGGUGAUAAUAANNNNNNNNNNNNNNNNNNNNNNNAAGGAGAGAGGGUAGGGGUUUUCUUUUUUUCUUGAAAGAAUGAAAAUGGGGAGUUUAUGGAAGACUAAGUCAAUCAAAAUUAUCUUUAAGAAUUUUGGAUAAAUAUAAAAUAAAAAUGGCUGCCUAACUACUAAGUAUCCUUAGAUAAAUACAAAAGGGUGGCAGCCCAAAAACUUGAUUAUAAUAUAUUUAACAAUAAUUUAUCAAAAUAAUAUUAAGUAUUACACAUAGCAACACCAUGAAAUUUCUUUGUCAAUAUUAACACAACCUAGAGUAAGAAAUUUUCAUGUAUUGUCAAUUUCAUGUUUAGGAAGUGCGAAGUAAAAUUAUCUCCUCAUUAUAAAGAUGCUCAAUCGAAAAUGCAAAUAUUAGUAAUAAUUUGGGGUGUUACAACUCUCUCCCCCUUAAAUAAAUUUCGUCCCGAAAUUUACCUGGUACUAGUCCCUAAACAAAUGUGGAUAUUGAACUCGCAUAUCCUCUUCUCGCUCCCAGGUAGAUUCUUCGCCAGAAUAAUUUUUCCAAAGAACUUUCACUAAGGGGAUGCUCUUAUUUCUAAGCUCCUUUAACUCACGCGCUAAGAUUUGGAUUGGUUCUUCUCCAUAUGUCAAAUCAGGAUUGACCUAAGUAGAUUUAAUAGGAAGAACAUGAGAUGGAUCUGAGCGGUAUCUUCUAAGCAUAUAAACAUGGAAGACAUUGUGGAUCUUGUCUAACUCUGGUGGAAGAGCUAAUUUAUAAGCAACUGGGCCAACUCUAUCAAGCACUUCAUAAGGUCCAAUAAAUCGUGGACUAAGUUUACCUUUUUCGCCAAAUCUCAUAAUGUUCUUCCAUGGAGAAACCAUAAAAAUAGCUUAUCACCCGCUUUAUACUUAAUUUCAUGCCUCUUAAGAUCAGCAUAAGACUCUUGUCUGUCUGAGGCAAUUUUUAAGCGAUCCUUGAUGAUUUUUACCUUAUCUUCAGUUUGUUGAACAAUCUUAGGACUCACCAAUUUUCUUUCACCAACCUCGUUCCAACAAAGAGGCGUUCUGCAUUUUCUCCCAUACAAAUCUUCAUAAGGAGGCAUACCUAUAAUUGAUUGGUAGCUAUUAUUUUAAGCAAAUUCUAUCAGGGCUAAGUGUUUAUCCCAACUACCCUCAAACUCAAUAAUGCAUGCUCGAAGCAUAUCCUCCAAGAUUUGUAUUACCCUCUCAGACUGGCCGUCUGUUUGUGGAUGGAAAGCGGUAUUAAAAUUUAACCUACAACCCAAAGCUUCUUGCAAGCUAGACCAAAAUCUGGAUGUAAACUUGGAUCUCUAUCAGACACAAUAGAAACAGGGAUUCCAUGCAGCCUCGCAAUCUCAUUAAUGUAUAAUUCUGCCAAACGUUCUAGUGAGUAGUCCAUUCUGAUUGCCAAGAAAUGAGCACUCUUAGUUAGUCUAUCUACAAUGACCCAAAUUGCAUCACAAUUCCUUUGAGUGUGUGGAAGUCUAGAAACAAAGUCCAUCGUUAUCCUUUCCCAUUUCCACUCAGGUAUUGACAAAGGUUGCAGUAGACCAGCUGGGACUUGAUGUUCGGCUUUUAUUUGUUGACAUACCAAGCAUUUAGAAAUGAACUCUGCAAUGUCUUUCUUCAUACCACUCCACCAGUAGUGCUCCUUGAUGGUCCGGUACAUUUUAGUACCUCCAGGAUACAUUGCAUAAGGCGAACUAUGUGCUUCAAUCAAGAUCUGCUUCCUCAAUUCAUCAUCAUUAGGAACACACAAUCUAUUUUUAUAAAAUAAGGUAUCAUCUUUCUUCAAUGGAAAAUCUGAUUCUCUUUCAUUUUGGACUUCUUCAACCCGUUUCACAAGCUUCUCAUCUAACUUCUGUGCUUCUUAGACCUGCUCAAGUAAGACUGGCUUGACUUGCAAAUUAGCAAUGAUAGAACCAUUAGAAUUAAAUAAAUGACAAACAUUCAUGGCUCUUAAUUCAAGAAGCAAGGGCAAAAGGACUUAGAGUUAAACUUGCAAAGGAAUUACGACUCAACGCAUCUGCAACCACAUUUGCUUUACCAGGAUGAUAAUCAAUCGUGCAAUCAUAAUCUUUGAUGAGUUCAAUCCAUUUACAUUGUCUCAAGUUUAACUCUUUUUGUGUACCCAAGUACCUCAAACUCUUAUGAUCAGUAAAUAUGUUACAUUUCUCCCCGUACAAGUAAUGCCUCCAAAUUUUUAAGGCAAAAGCAUUGGCAGCAAGUUCAAGAUCGUGAGUGGGAUAAUUCAACUCAUGCGAUUUCAACUUUCGAGACGCAUAAGAAAUUACUUUCCCUUCUUGUAUCAAAACAUAACCCAAGCCACAGUGAGAUGCAUCACUAAAUACCACAUAAUCUUUCCCUUCAACUGGUAAAGAAAGUAUUGGAGCUUGUAUCAACAAGGAUUUGAGCUUUUCAAAGCUCUCUUGACACUUGUCUUCCCUCAUAAAUUUGGCGUCUUUCCCCAAAAGUUUGGUCAAAGAAGAAUCUAUAAUAGAGAAGCCCUUCACGAACCUCUUAUAGUAUCCUGCUAAACCCAAGAAACUUCUGAUCUCAGUUGGAUUUUUAGGAGGUUUUCAAUCAACAAUAGCUUGAAUCUUACUAGGAUCAACCUGCACACCUUCAAUUGAUACAAUAUGCCCCAAAAAUGCCACUUCACUCAGCCAAAAUUCACAUUUGGAAAGCUUCGCGUAGAGUUGCCUCUCUUUCAGAAUUUGUAUGACAAUCUGGAGAUGAUUAUCAUGAUCUUCUCUAUUUUUGGAAUAGACUAAAAUGUCAUCAAUAAACACAACCACAAAUUGAUCAAGAUAUGGCUUGAAUACACGGUUCAUUAGAUCCAUAAAUGCAGUAGGAACAUUUGUCAAAACAAAUGGCAUUACCAAAAUUUCAUAAUGGCCAUACCUGGUCCUAAAAGCAGUUUUAGGAACAUCUUGCUCCCUCACGCACAACUGAUAAUAUCUAGACCUCAAGUCAAUUUUUGAGAACAAGCUGGCACCCUUCAGUUGGUCAAACAAGUCAUCGAUUCUAGGCAGUGGGUAUUUGUUCUUGAUUGUUACCUUGUUCAGCUGUCGGUAAUCAAUGCAAAGCCUAAGAGUGCCAUCUUUCUUUUUCACAAAUAAAACAGGAGCUCCCCAAGGCGAAAUACUAAGGACGGAUAAAACCUUUCUCAAGAAGUUCUUGCAAUUGAGCCUUCAACUUUUUUAAUUCAGCUGGAGCCAUUCUAUAAGGAGCGAUAGAAAUAGGAGUAGUUCCAGGGACAAGCUCUAUAGGAAAUUCAAUCUCCCUUUUCUGGAGGCAACCCAGGAAGAUCAUUAGGAAAUACAACAGGAAAGUCGCGCACGAUUGGUAUGUCCUCAAGACUUGGACUCCCCAAUCAUGUAUCGACUAUAUGAGCAAGAUAGGUAUCACAACCUUGACAAAUCAUCUUCCUUGCCAAGACCGCAGAAAUAAUAUUAGUUGUCAAUGAUCUUUCUCCUUGAACUACUAUGUGUGAGUAUGCCGGAGUUCUAAAAGUCACUUGCUUCAACCUACAAUCAACCAAUGCAUGGUGCCUAUGGAGCCAAUCCAUACCAACAAUAACAUCAUAGUCUUGGAAGGGCAUUUCAAGCUAGUCUGCAGGGAAGACCAGAUUUUGAAUCAUGAAUGGACAAUCUCGAUAAAUCCUGUUAACAACAGCCUGAUGACCUAAAGGACUCGUGACCAGCACAUCAAAGUCAAGUCUCACAGAUUUAACAGUAUCAGGAAAUGUAAGUGAUGAGCAAAUAUAAGAGUGCGAAGAUCCAUGAUCAAAUAAUGUAACAACAGGUAUGCCAAAUAAGUGAAAUUUACCAACAACCAUGCCCGGUCCAUCUUGGUCAUUCUUUUGUCUCAUAGCAUAGACUCAUGCAGUAGAUCUCGACCCACUAGCCUGAUUAGCUCCACCUGAACCCGCCGCUUGCAUAUUUCUAGGUCUUACACCACUAUUAGCUUGAGAAAUGAGUAAUGAUAGGCUUUUGAACUGAGCCCUCUAUAUGUGUAUAAGAAAGAGGAUUAGGAUUAGGAAAAUCCUUCACUUUAUGAUCCAUACUUCCACAAUUAAAACAAGUACCAGAAACUCUUCUGCAGGCACCAUAGUGAUUCUUUCUGCAUUAUGCAGAAGUAGGUAUAUAAGUUUUGCCUUGCAUAACUUGGAGUACUAGCAGUAGAGAAAUUUGGCUUAUUCUGCUUAUGAUAUGAUGACUUCUGUGUACUUUCAGUCUUGGAAUAGUCAAACUUUCCCUUCUUGGAUGGACCGCCAUAAUCUGAAUUACCCUUCCUAAACAUGUUUUUUCUCCUACUAGCUUCUUCCUUGUCAAUUCUUUCCCAAGUAAGAGCAGCUGAAAUUAGCUUGGAAAAAUCCUCAAGUUGCAAGAUUGUCACAGAUUUUCGAAUGUAACCAUUCAAACCUUCUUCAAAUCUUCUGCACUUGUCUCUUUCACCAUCAAUAAUACCACCAGCAUAGUGAGAAAGCCUGAGAAAUUUUUAUUGAUACUCUGCAAUAGACAUACUCCCUUAUCUUAAAUUCAGAAACUCUUUUUUCUUUGCAUCACAAUAGACAGGGGGACAUAUUUCACACGAAAUGCUUUCACAAAGUCAUCCCAAGUCAGCACCGGAGGUUUUGCUUUUGCAUUUGGCACACUUACCCACCAAUCAUAAGCAUUUAUUUAUAAAAGAGAGAUAACAUACUUAAAUUUGGCAUCAUUAGUACACUCUAGUUGUUCAAAGACCCUCUCCAUCUCCAUGCGCUCGAGCCAUUGUUCAGCUACCGUGGGAUCAGUAUUACCUUCAAAUUCAACUCCACCCAUUUUCCUCAUCUUCUCAAAAUUUAUUUCACUGGGUUCUAACAUUGUCCCAGCCAAGUGACGAAAGAACUCAGCCAUCUGCUGAAAUGAAGGAGUCAUAAUAGAAGUACUAUGACCCAUUGCUCUUGGAUUAUUGUCCACUUCAUUUUCACUAACACAUUGAUGAUUUAGGUUAGGCAAGGGUACCUCAUCUCCUUCUUGGAAGUGAGGUGGAGCAUUAUAAUGGGCCUGACUUUUAUCAACGGAUUCAAUAGCUCUAUUCGAAGAAGAGACCAUAUUAAAUUCCUAUAAAAGAUAAGAUCACACUGCAUUAGGGACAUGUACAUGAUGCAUAUGCGCAAGUAAUACAUCAAAUUACAUUAAACAAGUAUGCAAAAAUUUAUAAUCUCCAAGUCAUUUUCAAGAAAGAAAAUUACAAAAAUAUUAGGUACGAUCACAACAAAAAUUCUAGAAUCAGAAACGUAGACUCUGAUAUCAAAACUUGUAGCAACCCCUUUGGGAGGGUGCUACUUACGAAACAAAUCUAAUUUACUACUUAUAACAUUAAGAAGACAUUAAUUAAAAAAAUAUUCAGAAUAAUUUAGUAGCGGAAAUAGGCCCAUGCGAUGAGGUCCAAAGUGCAAUAUUUCUUUUUAUUUUAUUUUUGAAAAUUCUUUUCAUAAUUUUAUUUUAUUUUUUAAAAAAUAAAAUACAAUGUCAAAAUAUCAACAUAAGGUGAUAUAACCCUUCUUGAAUAAUCAACAUCACUGCAUGUUUGUAUUGUACAUAAAUUUUAAACUAUCGGGUAUAAAAAGGAAAACUAAUUUUCUCCUUUGUACAUAUAUAUAAGACAAAGUGUAAAUUCUACAUAUUACAAGACAUGAGUUAUUAACAUACCUUAAAAUAGCAAAAAAAGUUACCAUAUUCAAGUUACAAGAUUUUGGUCUUAAUAUCCAAGCCUCCAAAUAACAUACAUAAGUGUGACAUAUAUAUCAUGUACAAGUUCCAAAAUUAUACAAAACCAUGGUGCAUAUGAAAAUGUGAUCUCCAUAAGUGCUCCCAAAAAGACUACUUCAUAAGGCCGUCUUCAAAUUUCAUCCCAUAUAUCACUAAGCAUAAAGCUUAGUGGCGUAUAAAUUUUGGGCUUGGAGCCAUUAACUUCUCCAAUUCUCAUUUUCAGUCAUAGUUAGCUCACAUGAAAUAUAAUUUAAAACAAGUGAACAAAUAUAUCAAAAGUAUCAAAUAUCAACCCUUGAAGUGUUUCCAAAUAUCAAUAACAAUGUUCAAGAUUCAAGAGUUGAGAAAGCGUAUACUAUCAAUCCAAGAAAGCUUGUCAAAUAUCCAUUUUUCACCCAAUGUGUGCGUCAUGCCAUCACAUUAAGCAAAAUCAGAUAUCAGUAUAGACCGAAGCCCCAAAUCAAGUAGGGUUAAAACUCAAUAAUCAAGAGAAUCAAGAACCAUAUUAAAAAUGGCUUCCUAAUUCAUACUUAACACGGACAAGUUCCAUAAUUUAAGACGAACUACAAAUCCAAAGUAAGAUGGCAAAAGAUCCAAAUCAAGAGGCAUGCCAAGAUGAGUGACAAAGUCACCACCACAAGAAGGACAAAGUCCCAACAAGAAUGCAAAAUGAUCAAACAAUCCGUACGAGUGGGCUAUUUAGCAAAUAUCUUGCAAUACUUGAUAUAACACGAAUACAAUGCUAUUAAUUGAAGACAAAAAAAAAAAAUAUCAGGUUAUUUAAAAAUAUUUCAGCAAGUAAAAAGAGUACAAAGUUUAUACACAAACCUUGGUGUUUUACCACAAAAUAGUUCAACCACAACUUGAGGAUGUUCGAAUCGUCUACGCCCUAGAUAAACCAAAUCAGUCCACUUNNNNNNNNNNNNNNNNNNNNNNNNNUAUAUAUAUAUAUAUAUAUAUAUAUAUAUAUAUAUAUAUAUAUACCUUAAAUACAUAAUAAAAUAUCUAUAUAAGUUCAGUGAUUUAACAUGUCAAACUAAACAUGAUAUUGGUGAAAAUUACCCAAAAUAUUUGAAACAUAAAUUCUAGACAGUAUCACUGUCUCGUGUUGUGACUCAGAUUUGAAGAUGAAAGAGGACAAACUAGACUGUGUAGUCUUCUUUACAGUUGUAGAUAUGUCUCUUAUCAUUUCAUACCAUCUUGAAUCACCCCCAUGUCAAUUUCGUACAAAAGGUUAUGCUAAACUUACUAACAGUAGUACAAGGAGGAUUUGUAAAACAGAAAAUCUGGACAACAUCUGCCCUGUACUUCAUCACCUAUUUUCAGGUAAAUAAAAGACAAAUCAAGUUUUGGUUCCUUCAUAAGAGUUAUAGAUCUAUGAAAUGGAUUUCCAAAAAGUCCUAGAUCACUUAAAACGGAGCUCUAUACAAAAUGAUAUGAAGAAAACACUAAUAGUUGUCUAGUAUAAAAACGGGUUUAGUAACUUACCACAAAAGAGAGGAGCAACUUGAGCUUCACCAAGAACGAAUUUUGCUGGUUAGUUUAGUGAAAAUUUAUGGUGGUUUUCAUGAAGUUUUCAGGUGAUAAGAAGGAUAGAGGGUAGGGUUUUUCUUUUUUUUCUUGAAAGAAUGAAAAUGAGGAGUUUAUGGAAGACUAAGUCAAUCAAAGUUAUCUUUAAGAAUUUUGGAUAAAUAUGAAAUAAAAAUGGCUACUCAACUACUAAGUAUCCUUAGAUAAAUACAAAAGGGUGACAGCCCAAAAACUUAAUUAUAAUAUAUUUAACAAUAAUUCAUCAAAAUAAUAUUAAGUGUUACACAUAGCAACACCAUGGAACUUCUUUGUUAAUAUUAACACAACCUAGAGUAAGGAAUUUUCAUGUAUUAUCAAUUUCACGUUUAGGAAGAGCGAAGUAAAAAUAUCUCCUCAUUAUAAAGAUGCUCAAUCGAAAAUACAAAUAUUAGUAAAAAUUCGGUGUGUUAUAGGGCCAAAUGGUAUCUCAUCUACAUUUACUUGGGCAUCCUUCUUUUUGUUGAUUUUAGACUGUCUAAUUUCAGCUGAGUCAUCUUUCAAAUCACUACACUCUUCAAUGUUCUUAUCUAUAUCAAACAGUGAGUUGGACUCUUUAGAAUCAUCAAAGUCUUCAUCAAAAUCAGAUUCUGAUGUUUGAAGGUGAUAGGAUGAGAAGUUAUUACCUUCACCUUCAUCUUAUUCUUCUAUCUCUCCAUUUAUAUCUGCCUCCUUACCCUUAUCUUUGUCAUUUUCAGUCCUAUUUAUAUCAUUGUUAGGAGGUGACACAUCAACUCUAGCACUUAACCCACUGUCAUGCCCAUGUGUUUGUAGAGUGGGGUCCAGUUCAGUUAUGUCCUCGACAAGAAUAUGAUUACUAAUUUUAUGGACAAUAUAAACAUCAACAAAGUCAACACAAUUCAAUGUAUUAAGAAACUUUAACACAUUAGCAUCUGUUUUUAAAAUGUAAUAGCCACCCUUUUUGUUAACUUUGCAUCCAAACAAAUCAACUUCUAAAAAUCCUAAGUCCCUAGAAAACUUGUGAAACAACAUAAUAUGCAGCUCAUCAACAUUAACUGUAGCAAAUUGAGGACAAGUUAGUCUAUUUGCAUACCUUAGCUCAGGGUCCGAUACAAAAUUACCACUGUGGUAGAUUUAUAGGUUAACUAGGCUUGAAGCCAUUUUCUUCUCAUACCUGCAAAGUAACAAAACAAAUAGUGUUAUCAAUGACUAUUUGUUAUCAAAAGUUGCAUCUUUACACAACUCCAUAAACAAACCAACAAAAAAGAUAGAUUUUUUAAGUAAAAAGCUUCCAAGAUUCCUUUUCCGUCCCUACAAUAACCUAUAAUAUUCAGAAAUACUCUGGUGGACCACUAACAAGAACGAGACCCAACAAAUUUUACAAAAAAUAUGCAUAAAUCUAAGAUGAAAUUCUGAUUUGACAAAAAAAAACCCAAAAAUUAAACGGAAUAACCAAAUAUUCCAUUGCAUGCAUGACACUACAUAAAAAAGGGUUUUCACUUCAAAAUGUAACGAAAUAGAGCAAAAGCCCCAUAUAUUGAGGAAAAUUAAACAGCAAUUACGAUCUAACCCAACCUUUCCCUAAGAACCCUAGACAGAGCAAAAGACCCAUACAUUGAGGAAAAUGAAGAUCAAUAAAGACAAAAGAUGAAGAACAGAUGAAGAAACUUACCCCACAAACUUCGAUAACAACUGCGAUGAUGAAACUUCUGCCAACUAUGACGGAGAAGAGAGGAGAGACAGAAGUGGUUCGAUACUUUCUAAUCCCUAACUAAGUAGUUAAGUUAAAAUGAAGGGGAAAUUUGUGUUUGGGGGGAGGGGGUUAACAAUUAUUUCACGUAUUAUUUUCCUAUGUGGCCAUAAUAAAUGACCUGGAGCCUACGUGGUUUAAGUUUCUUGACGUGGUGUCCUAUGUGUAGGAGAUUGUAUUACAUGCACUGGAAGCCUCCUGUUAUAAGCAUUUAUUAUACACGGUUUGAAGGAGUGUAAGUGUUCAAUUGGCAAAUUUUUAAGUUGGGGGACCGGCAUGACAAAGUGGCACAAGUAUAGGUGCUAUUUAGGCCAUUCUGUCAUUUUAAAAUCUAACACAUUUAAAGAGAUUACAAGUGCGUCAUUGUGUGGUCAUAAUAAUCCAUCCGUGUCUUCCUCCGUGAAAGUGAUAUCGUCCUCCCGGAGUCUUUUGCUGUGAGUUAUCGACACUUUAGUCUUCUUUGCCGCCGAAAAGGUGACCCCGUUAAUCUCGUUCCCCCCCAAAGAUCAUGUUAAUCGUUUGGCGUAGGGUUUACUCUCCUGCUUUCGAGGAUUUUGCGUUGUCUGUGUUGCGAUUGUAAUUGUUCUUAGCUCGUCACUCAAGAAUUCUCGGAGAUGACCAUUCUUCAAUAGUAUUGCCACUUCCUCCCGAAGAUGUCGACAGUCCCUUGUCCGGUGACCGUUCGUCCCGUGGUAUUCGCACUAUGAAUUGGGAUCCCUCUGGCUAGAAUUGGACCUCAUAGGUCUCACGAAUCAUGCUUCUUUAAUGUUCCUCAUGGCUGACACCAGUUCCACUACACUGGCAUUGAAGUUAUAUUCUGAUAACUUGGGGUAAGAAAGAUCUCGAGACCCCGAUGUUUGUUUAUCUUGAAGUGAUCUAUCGUUUUGACCAUGAUCAGUCCCUCCGUCAACUAUGAACUUGUUUGUUGUUUAGAAAUUACUGCCACGGCCUUUGGUAUGCUCGUAGGGCAAAAACCGAUCCCUCGUAGUCCACCUAUCCACGUCGUAGUCAUCCUUUGAUUUUUCUCUGUUCUUCUCCAGUCCUUUGGCCGAUGAUGUAAAAUCGAGCCGGUCAUCUUCGAUCCUUAUCUUCGACUCGUACCAGUUGUGAACAUUUGCCUAGGUUGUUGCUUGAAACUCAAGCGGGCUCUCCUUCAGCUUCUGGGAAGUGUCUUAACUUCUCAGAUUCAAUCCUUUGGUGAAUGCUUCAGCUGCCCAUUCAUCCGGAACGGCCGGGAUCAACAUUCUUUCUUUCUGGAACCGGGUAACAAACUAUCGUAAUAAUUUUGAUUCUCCUUGUGCGAUUUUGAAUAUGUCGGCUUUUCGGGUUUGCACCUUUCUGGCCCCGCCAUGAGCUUUAAUGAAAGAAUCUGUGAGCAUUUCAAAAGAAUCUCUAGAAUGCUCGGGAAGUAAUGAAUACCACGUUAAGGCUCCCCUCGUGAGAGUUUCGCCGAAUUUCUUUAGCAACACAAAUUCAAUUUCGUGAGGAGCUAGAUCAUUUCCUUUCAGCGACAUUGUGUAGGUGGUAAUAUGUUUCUACAGGUCUGAAGUUCCAUCAUACUUUGGAACUUCAGGCAUUGUGAAAUGCUUCGGAAUUAGUUCUGGUGUCGCACUUGGCUUGUACGGUAAUUGAACAUACUUCUUCGAGUUUGGGCCUUUCAAUACUAGUGGUGCACCCGGGAUUUGAUCCAUACGGGUGUUUAUUUCCCUAAUGAACCGUAAAAGUUCACCCUUAAAUGAAUCGUUCCCGUUGUUAAGACCUGAUCUGCUCCCCCCAGCCGUAAAUUAACUAAUAAAUUAACUAAUUAACUCAUCCUUAAAUGAAUCUUAUAUCUAACUAAUUAACUAAUAAAUUAAAGCAGUAAAUUAACAACUAAAGAAACUAUGGAUUGGAGACUAUAUUCAGGAGGUCUAAAGUUAUGCUUUUCCCAAUUAUCGGAAUCCUUCUCGCUAUGUUUUCUACAAUUUUGCCUAUGUAUUCUCUACUGAUCGUGAGCACUUUAGGUGCCUUAAUUCUCUCUCGAGCAACUACAAUAAUUUACUAGGCAUAUUCUCUCGAACUACGCUAGUUGGCUUUAUCAAACCGCUCACUAUGACCACGUCAAGGCUUUGUUAUUUCUAAACCUACCUUUAAACCCGCCGUAUUGAUUUCUCACAUACGUUAGGAAUGACGUUGUUCAACAACCACCUAAAUAUGUAUCCUUUCUCAAGAAACACAUAAUAGAUAGGCACAGUCAAUCGAUGGCCAUUUAAUCAACUGAAAUAAGCACGUAGUUGACAAAUAGAUAAAUUCAAAGGUUAAAUUAUAUUAAAACAUAACAAGAAUUCAUCCUUCAAGAGGUUCCAUCAAAACUCUAGUUAAUUAAUUAGUUACUCAUAAUAGUAUGUAAUACUACAAUACUAAAAGUCAUAACUAACAAUGAAAAGUAGGAAGAAGAAUGGGAAAAAAUCGUGGUUAAAUCUUCCUCCUUGAUCCUAGCAUAUUCUUGCCUCCUUGGGUGUUGUCUUACCCUAAAGUGGUGUCUAAGUCCUCAAAAUACUAUUUUUCAUGUAUAUAUACCAAGUAGGAUCGGUCCCAAAUAAUUAUACAUUCUCCUAUAUGAAAAAGGACACAUUUCCCGGACAGGACGUGCGCGGCCGCGCACGUUUCACACUUUCUGCCCCAUAUGCGCGGUCAGUGCGCGACCGCACAUUUGCCAUGCAAGUUUCACCCUAUUCUGUUGGGAAUUUAAAUAAUCAUAAAACAUGAACAUUGUAGCCCUUUGAAUUAGCUUUCCAACCAUAUAUUGUGGAUCCCAUAUGUAGUUCUGAUCGAAAGGUUAUGUGCUUUUUACUAGACAGUGCGCAAUAUGCCUGCUCGAUUCUUCGUUCGUUCUAAACUGUCAUCUGUUGAUCCCCGAACACGAUCCUGGCUUAAUUCCUUGGACUUUUACUCAGAUUGCAAAGCUCCAAAUCACUUGAAUUCAUUCCAUAACAUCUACAUAGCUCGGAAUCACUCCUACAAGGCAUAAAACACCCAAUUAGUGCAAAAUACUAGCGAUUAAAGCUCAAACUCAACUAAAGUACAGUAAAUUAUAGUGUAAUAAGCGACUAAAAUAAUACUUAACCCAUUGCUCGUCCUCGAGCAAUCAAACUACACUUUAUAUAGAUUCGGUCUUUUUAAACAAUUCUCCUAACUCAUCACACCAACAAUAUUUGAAAUAGACUAAGCACAAAAGCGUAACAUCUUCACCUCAAGAUUUGACUCACAAGUACCACGCAUUAUUCACAACUCACCCACUUAACCUAACAUAGAGGUCACUGACAUUACCUUUCCCUCAUGAAUCAAGUUCCCUCACACAACAAAAGAGAGUAGUUCCACACAAUAAAAUUUAAGAACACUUAGGAACUCAAGAUAGAAAGUAUUCACUCACUCUCAGAAAUAACAUUCAUAUGCCACAAAAGAUACACCAUAGGCUUGCCCGUAGUGUACUACUCUACUAAUCGAGCUCAUUCAGUCUCGGAUCAAGUAGGACUUUAUUUGGUUGUAAUGUAGGCUGCAGGAUGGAUAUGAUACAUUUAGAUAUAAGAGUGACUACACCUACCUAAGCACUUUAAUACAUACACUUUAACAUUUAAAACCUCACACUUAUGUGAAACCAUAACUCCACCUUCACAUAAAUAUAUAUUACCCCAUACUUCUUUAAGCAUAAUUACAUCAAAAGCCACCAAAGGAAUAUUAUUCACAACAAUACAACUAUAUAUUUUUUUUUCUUUCUUUUUCAAUUCAAGUGGCUUUUAUUUUUUUUUCAACACAGUGCACCUUUCUCCUUAUUUUAUUAGUUCCAUUCAAAAGCCCCACCAUCCACCCCACACUUUAACCUUUACAAAGUUCAUAACAAUUCAAGUGCUCAUGAGAGGUGAACAGGUUCAAAUAGAUGGUUAAUUCAAAUAAAUAGGUAAGGCUUGAAAUGUGGUUGUCAAAGAAACAGAAUUACAGGCUCAAAGGGGUUAACUACAUUACAUAACAAUUAUGCGGGUAAACUAUAUAUAUCGGGCUCAACAAAGAAACGCCUAUAUCACUUCCAAGACUGAACAAAACUACUAUUUCGUUUUGCAAACACACGGGGUAAGUUCUAGACAUCAAAUGCAAUACACAGAAUAACACACAAACCUCACACACACAUGGCACAUAACUCACUCAGGAUUAGAUUCAUCAAGACACUCUAGUCAAAGCAGUUAAGUAAAGUUAAGAUUAUACGAUUUAAGAUAUUUUUACAAGAGUCAAAAACUGAGCCUAAGUGUCACAUCCAAAGUACUCACUAUUAUCAAGGCAUAACAAAGUCAAUAGAUAUAGCUUCAAUUCAAAACACAUCACAAUGGCUCAUAUUCCUAAAAAAAUAAAACUAGCUACACCCGGUUCAAACAAAACCCUUGAAAAAGAACCGCGACACAAAGAAAAACCAAGGGGUAAUUGCUACACUACCUAACAAAAGAAAAUCUUUUUUUCUUUUUCCUUUCGACUUAAAUCCCUCAAGAAAAUUGUCUAAUAGAUCCAUCAUCGGGAAAAGUCCAAUAUUUUCUAUUUAAAAAAUAAAAAGUAUUAUUCAAUUAAACUAACACGACUAAAAUAGCAUAGAAAAUCACCCAGACAAUCUCCUCACCCCACACUUAAAAUUGUGCAUUGUCCCCAAUGCACACCCAUAAAUGCAAGAGGGUAAAAGAAACUCCCUGGUCGGCCAAAGGCCGAAGCACUAGCAGCUCAUGAGGUACUCAGACUUCUCCCAGGCCUGGUCCUUCGUGCGGGUACCUCACACUUAGUUCCAACCAUCUGGUUUGUUGUUGCAUCCUUCCAAUGGCUUUGCUUUCCAUGCUCCUAAAAAAUCAAAAAUCGACACUACAAACAUAGUACAAUUUAAAAAAUAAAAAAUAAACGAAAGCAGUAAAGCUGAGUUGCCUCCCAACAAGCGCUUGAUUUAACGUCGCGGCACGACGUGAAUCGCUUUUUGCCUCCACCUCGAGCUUAUGAAUUGAACCCCAAGUUUUGAUUCAAGCUUAUGAUUAUACUCCUGGGGUGGUGGAAUGAAUCUAACUGGCCCAAGAAAAUAAUGUAGUAUUCUGCACUUCUUGGCCUUUAGAUGAGGUGUGUAAUUCUGACUUUCUGGCAAGAAGAAUUCUAGAAUGUAGGCACCUUGUUCCUCAUUCCUUGACUCCUCAAGUAGCCCGGAUGACUUUAUUUCUAUAUCAUCAUCCAAACACAAUGUGAAAAAAUACUUAGAGUGUGGACCAAUGCGCUCAACUACAUGAACAUUUGGACUGUCUACAUCCUCAACACCAAUGACACUAGAGUCAGCUAAAUAUGUAUCAUCAAUGUCCUUGGUUGACUCUAGUAUCUCUUCUACAACAAUGACAUCCUCAGAAUCUAGUUCGAAUGAUUGUUGGUGUUCUACUCUGAUCUCCUCCGUUAGCACCUCGAUUUCUGCAUCUAAUACAUGCUCCUUUUGGCUACUAUCCAUAAAAUUGCCUUGCUGAGCAUUAAAAGCUUCAACCACUUGACUCACUUGAGCCUCCAAGUUGCGAAUAGUUGCCUCUUGCCUUUCUAUCUACAGUUGUUUCUCAUUAUUUUGUUCCAGAAGGCACUUUAACAUAUCUUUGAUCUCUUUCAAUUCAGCUUCCCUAGGUUCUUUGUUCCUAUUCACUUCACCAAAAAAUUGUAGAACCAGCAUAGCAAGAGAUAAGGGGAGGAUAAGAAAUAUACGCACAACCAUGAAAGUGAUCAUCUUGACCACCACAUAUAUCACACACAUUCCACACAUAAGAUUGAGUUAGUGCACACAACUCGCUCUCGGAAAUAUUUUGAUAAUUUUGCAAUGGGUGGUUUCCUCCACAAUAUGCAUAAGGAGGAUCAAAAGUAGAAUUAUCAACAUCAAAACUCUCAUAAUUCCAAGAUGCCAUGUCUCUAAAAUAAACAAGUAACACAAAAUAAAAAAAAAUUAAAUACAAAAAAAUAAAAAUAAAAGUUCAAACUUGAAACCUAGCAAUAUGUACACUUACAGCUACACCGUUAGUUCCCCGGCAACGGCACCAAAAUUUGAUCACGCCCAACUAUGCCUUAUAAAUAGGACUAAGCGGUCACUGCAAAUAUAAUCCGGUCUAAGAGUCCGGAGUCGAAUUCCACAGAGAACUAAGGUUUAGCUACAACUGUUCACUAUCACCAAGAAGACAAGCUUGAACAAUUCCUAAGUUAUAAAUAUUACGAUUCUUAUAUCUAACUAAUUAACUAAUAAACUAAAGCAGUAAAUUAACAACUAAAGAUACUAAGGGUUGGAGACUAAAUUCAGGAGGUCUAGAGUUAUGAUUUCCCCAAUUAUCGGAAUUCUUCCCGCUAUGUUUCCUACAAUUUCGCCUAUGUAUUCUCUACUGAUCGUGAGCACUUUAGGUGCCGUAAUUCUCUUUUGAGCAACUACAACAAUUUACUAGGCAUAUUCUCUCAAACUACGCUAGUUGGCUUUAUCAAACCGCUCACUAUGACCACGUCAAGGCUUUGUUAUUUCUAAACCUACCUUUAAACCCGUUGUAUUGAUUUCUCACAUACGUUAGGAGUGACAUUGUUUAACAACCACCUAAAUAUGUAUCCUUUCUCAAGAAACACAUAAUAUAUAGGCACAAUCAAUCGAUGGCCAUUCAAUCAACUGAAAUAAGCACGUAGUUGACAAAUAGAUAAAUUCAAAGAUUAAAUUAUAUUAAAACAUAACAAGAAUUCAUCCUCCAAGAGGUUCCAUCAAAUUUCUAGUUAAUUAAUUAGUUACUCAUAAUAGUAUGUAAGACUACAAUACUAAAAGUCAUAACCAACAAUGAAAAGUAGGAAGAAAAAGAAGGGGAAAAACUCGUGGUUAAAUCUUCCUCCUUGAUCCUAGCGUAUUCUUACCUCCUUGGGUGUUGUCUUACCCUAAAGUGAUGUCUAAAUCCUCAAAAUACUGUUUUUCAUGUAUAUAUACCAAGUAGGGUCGGACCCAAAUAAUUAUACCUUCUUCUACAUGAAAAAGGAUACUUUUCCCGGACAGGACGUGCGCGGCCGCGCACUUUUCACACUUUCUGCCCCAUAUGCGCGGCCGUGCACUUGCAGCGCACCUUUCACCAUGUUCUGUUGGGAAUGUGAAAAAACGUAAAACAUGAAAGUUGUAGUCCUUUGAAUUAAAUUUCCAACCAUAUAUUGUGUAUAGCAAAUGGAGUUCGGAUCGAAAAGGUAUGUGUAUUUUACUAGACAAUGCACAAUAUACCUGCUCGAUUCUUCGUUCGUUCUAAACUGUCAUCUGUUGAUCCCCGAACACGAUCCCGGCUUAAUUCCUUGGGCUUUUACUCAGACUUCAAAGCUCCAAAUCAUUUGAAUUCAUUCCAUAACAUCUACAUAGCUCGGAAUCACUCCUACAAGGCAUAAAACACCCAAUUAGUGCAAAACACUCGCGAUUAAAGCUCAAACUCAACUAAAGUGCAGUAAAUUAGAGUGUAAUAAGCGACUAAAAUACGUAAUUAUAGCCUAUCGUCAAGCGCAGUAGCUGCGUUCGGUCAUCAACCAUCCCAUCUUGGAUUCCACGUGUCCUCCUUUUAGUUAGCCACGCGUCAUAUCAUAUUUUACCCUAUACAAGCAUAUAUAUUCAAUUAUACACUUCACAAUUCACAACCAAGUGUAAGAAAUCAAGUGAAACUUAAAUACUCACAUAAUAAACGUAACCCUGUUUAUGCAUAUACAAGUUCAAGAGAGAUUUUUUUUUUUUUUACUAAACGGCUUGCAAGGUGAAAACUAAAACUCAAAAAAUGUAAAACAAUUAUGUGAUUAGGUUGAAGUCAUACUACACAAGCAAGCACCGUGUAUAGAUCAUAACUCAUGUACGUCGGGAAAAAUAUCUUUUCAUUUUCAAAAGAAAUNNNNNNNNNNNNNNNNNNNNNNNNNNNNNNNNNNNNNNNNNNNNNNNNNNNNNNNNNNNNNNNNNNNNNNNNNNNNNNNNNNNNNNNNNNNNNNNNNNNNNNNNNNNNNNNNNNNNNNNNNNNNNNNNNNNNNNNNNNNNNNNNNNNNNNNNNNNNNNNNNNNNNNNNNNNNNNNNNNNNNNNNNNNNNNNNNNNNNNNNNNNNNNNNNNNNNNNNNNNNNNNNNNNNNNNNNNNNNNNNNNNNNNNNNNNNNNNNNNNNNNNNNNNNNNNNNNNNNNNNNNNNNNNNNNNNNNNNNNNNNNNNNNNNNNNNNNNNNNNNNNNNNNNNNNNNNNNNNNNNNNNNNNNNNNNNNNNNNNNNNNNNNNNNNNNNNNNNNNNNNNNNNNNNNNNNNNNNNNNNNNNNNNNNNNNNNNNNNNNNNNNNNNNNNNNNNNNNNNNNNNNNNNNNNNNNNNNNNNNNNNNNNNNNNNNNNNNNNNNNNNNNNNNNNNNNNNNNNNNNNNNNNNNNNNNNNNNNNNNNNNNNNNNNNNNNNNNNNNNNNNNNNNNNNNNNNNNNNNNNNNNNNNNNNNNNNNNNNNNNNNAUAUAUAUAUAUAUAUCUUAUAUAUAUGGGAAUAACAAAAAACUAGACCAAAAUUAAGUGUGUGUCGGUAGUGGCUCAACGCUACGUUUGCAAAAGCACAUUGCACCUCGCAAAUCGCAAUGAAACGAAUUGGUUAACUGGGCCGCAACAUCUCUGGGUGAUAGAUAAGGUAAGGAUGCUAAGAGUUAUCAAUUCAUUCAUAAAUUUGAGACAAAAAUAAGAAGCAGGAAAUUAAAUCUGGACAUAACACAUAAACAAGGGGAAAAAGCAAAAUAAAAAAUAAAAUUUUUUUGCUGACACCAACUUGGCAGUUAAUUUUAAAUGAGUGUAGCCAUGGCUUAGUUGAUAGUAGCCAUUAGAUUUUUUUUAAUGGUUGUGACUUUUUAAGAAGAAUAUGAAGCGCCACUUUUUCUCAAAACAGGUGUCUAAAUGAAGCGCCUAUUUGUAGUUCUUUUUAAUUAAAGAGGGUAUAACUAAAUUAAAUAGGGUAUUAGGAUAAAUUAGGAGGGCAUUUAAGUAAUUUAACUUUUAAGUUAAGGGCUUUAUGUUUUUAAUAUAUUGUAGAUGUAUAAUCAAUAUAUAAUCUAUGUAUCUGGCUAUAAAAAGUAAAUAAUGAAUAUGAUCGGCUAUUUGUGCAAAAAUUCUUUUUUAUUUGAGAUACAUGCCCAAUUGGCAACUGGUUAAAAGGACCAAGAAUAGAAAGUAGGAGUUUAUGCUAAUAUUAUUGAGAAAAAUAUCUGAAUUUCUCUCAUGUCUAGUUUCUCAUCCCCUUCUUGGUUUUUUCAUAUCUUACUUAGCUUCUGCAUUUUGUAUUUUCAUUAAUGCUAUUCUACUUCGUUGGGUUGUAAUCAUUAGUUACUAUCAUCAAUAUAAUCUGUAUUUUGAAGUUGUUACAUUGGUGCUUUCAUCCAUCGGACUUUAAUGGCAAUACUAUAUCGACACAGCGGCAACAACAAUCCAGGGAGCUGACUUUUUCGAGCCAAGCGGUACUUCACCUACCUUGGCUUCGCCAAGAAGGAUUGCUUACCUAUUCCUUUCUUUUAUCUUGAUGGUGAAGCUCUUACUUGGUUCAAUUGAUUGUUUUGGAAUAGAAAAUUUUCGAUUGAAAAUAUUUCAAGGCAAACUUUGAUUAGUAUUUUUGACAUCAAACCAACACAGAUCCAGUAGGGCGUCUAUCUAGUUCCUCUCUAGUUCGUUUUAACUACGUUAAUUUUGUCCCUAUAAUUUCACAAUCAGCUCCGACAUUUUUCCUUCCUGCUUUGAGUUAUUUUUCGCAGUCUUCUGCAUUCUAGGAAGCUGGGAACCUAAAAGUAGUGCAUGUGUUCGAUAGAUUGGGGGAGAAGUAUACGUAUGUAGCUCAUUUGGAAUUGAUUAAUGGGAAUAAUAUUGAGAUUGAAACUCUUGAAGACAUGAAAACACCUCAACUUAGGAACGCAAAAUUAGUAAAGGUUGCAAAAUUGGUACGUGCACAUUCUUCUAUUACAGAAGCUGAGGUGUUGGACGAAAUUUCACGCAAAACAAUGAGCUCUGCAAUUCAUGAUCUUAACGCUAUUGUCCAUGAGAGAGAAUACUCUGCAACUACACUAACCAAGGUGUACGACGAUAGCUUCUGCGGAGAUAUCAGUUUGCAAACAAAGUUCCCGUAACGACUCGACUUAUCGUUUUGAGUAUUAUAGUCUCGUUUCCCCCAUUUACUGCUUAUCAUGUGUUCUAUUAUAAAUUUGUGACUUGUCGGGAAGGUUUCAAAAUGAAUUGGAAUACUUAGUUCCAAGAUUUAAAGUUUAAGUUGAAAUAGUUGGCCGGAUACUGACUUAUGUGUAAACGACCCCGGAAUAGAGUUUUGAUGAUUCCAAUAGCUCCGUAUUGUGAUUUUGGACUUAGGAGUGUGUCCAGAAAAUUAUUUGGAAGCACGUAGUUAAAUUAGGCUUGAAAUGGCGAAAAUAUGAAGUUUAAAUUUGGAAGUUUGACUGGGGAGUUGACUUAUUGAUAUCGUGGUCGGAAUCCGAUUCUAGAAAUUGGAAUAGGUCUGUUAUGUCAUUUAUGGCUUGUGUGCAAAAUUUGAGGUCAAUCGGACUUGAUUUGAUAGGUUUCGGCAUCGAAUGUAGAAGUUAAAAAUUCUUAGUUUCAUUAAGCUUGAAUUUGGGUAUGAUUCGUGGUUUUAGCGUAGUUUGAUGUGAUUUAGAGGUUCGACUAAGUUCGUAUGAUAUUUUAGGACUUGUUGGUGUAUUUGGUUAAAAUCCCGGAGGCCUCGGGAGAGUUUCGGAUAAUUAACGGAUCAAUAUUUGGACUUAAGGAAAUGCUGGAAUUUUUCUAUUGCUGGUAUCUUCGCACCUGUGCAUGAGGGAUCUCGUGCCCCUUCAGUUCAGGGUUCAUUUGCACCGGGUGCUUCUAGCAGUUAUUCUGGUUCUCGGGGCCCGAUUCAGUACGCACCACCACCAGUACCGGGAGCUACUUCGAGUGCGGGAAAUUUGGGCAUAUGUGGAGACAGUGUCCUCGUCGCUCGGGAGGUCCAGUGUAGCAGAGGAGUCAUACUACGACUUCAGCACCAGUUACUUCACCAUCUGCCCAGGUAGCUCGGGGUGGGGGUCAGUCAGCUAGGGGUCGCCCAAGAGGGGGAGGCCGAUCAGGUGGCGGUCAAGCCCGAUUCUAUGCUUUUCCUGCCAGACUAGAUGUUGUUGCUUCAGAUGCAGUGAUCACAGGUAUUGUCUCAGUGUGCCAUAGGGAGGCAUCUAUAUUAUUUAACCCUGGUUCUACUUAUUCGUAUGUAUCAUCGUACUUUACUCAUUAUCUAGAUAUGUCCCGUGAGUCCUUAGUUUCACCUGUACGUGUAUCUACGCCUAUGGGCGAUACUAUUAUGGUGGACCGUGUGUAUCGGUCGUGUGUGGUAAUAUUGGGGGACUGAAGACUAGAGUUCAUCUCUUAUUGCUUAGUAUGGUUGAUUUCAAUGUAAUCCUGGGUAUGGAUUCGGUGUCCCCAUGUCAUGCUAUUUUUGGACUGUCACGCAAAAACCAUGACGUUGGCAAUGCCGGGGUUGCCGAAGGUCGAAUGGAGAUGUUCUCUAGAUUAUGUUCCCAUCAGGGUAAUUUCUUAUUUGAAAGCCCAACGUAUGGUUAGGAAGGGGUGU